rnacentral:lncRNA from 1 species
UGUCUUCUCACUACUCGUCUAGAAUAUGUGGCUAAUGCUGUGCCUAGAGAUUUGCAAAUGAAUGAUCGUCCUUAUUUCUUAGGAAAGCUAUCAGGUGAUGAGUGCUGGUCCAUCAUAAAAGGAAAGGUGAUGAGUGCAGGGGAAGAAGUACCAGAAGAAUUGGAAGCACUGAAGGAGCAAAUUUUAAGGAGAUGCGAUGGCCUACCCUUGGCGGCAAGUUUGAUUGGUGGCUUGUUGCAUACCAACAGAAGAGAGAAGUGGCACUCCAUUGUGCAGGAGAGCCUUUUGAAUGAAUAUCAAAGCCAAAUUAAUCAAAUACUUAAGGUGAGCUUUGAUCAUUUAUCAUCUCCAUCAAUUAAGAAAUGUUUUGCAUAUUGCUCGAUUUUUCCCCAGGACACUGAAUUAGGAGAAGAUGAACUAAUUCAGCACUGGGUUGCUAAAGGUUUUGUUCUACCAGAUCAGGAAAACACAAGAAUGAUGGAGGAAAGAGGAGGCGAGUAUUUAAGGAUUUUGUUACAAAGUUCCUUACUAGAAAAAGUCGAAGAUGAGGGGAGCACAUAUUAUAAAAUGCACGAUCUCGUGCAUGAUUUUGCAAAAUCAAUUCUCAAACCAGAAAGCAGCAAUCAGGAUCGCUACCUUGCAUUGGACUCUUCUAAAGGUUUGGAAGAAAAUACCAUAAGGACAAUACCAGCAUCAAUUCGCACAUUAUUUCUCCAUCUAGAGGGUGGCGUAUCUACUGACAUGAACAUGCUUUUAAGAUUCAAGUGCUUGCAUGUUCUCAAAUUGUCUGGAUAUGAUGUCGAGUCUCUACCGAGCUCCAUUGGCAAACUACUACAUUUGCGGCUGCUCGACAUUUCAUCUUUUGGAAUCACAAGUUUGCCAGAAUCUCUUUGCAAGCUAUAUAAUUUGCAGACACUAACGAUUGAUGAUUAUGCACUUGAAGGAGGUUUUCCAAAACGGAUGAGCGAUUUGAUCAGCUUGCGGCAUCUAAACUACAAUCAUUAUCGUGCAAAUUUGAAAAUGCCGGUGCAGAUGGGACUAUUGACUUGUCUUCAAACUUUAAAGUUUUUUAAUGUAAGUCAAGAGAGGGGUCGUGGUAUCGAAGAGCUUGGGACCUUGAAAUAUCUGAAAGGAUCGUUGACUAUAAGAAAUCUUGGACUAGUGAAGGGCAAAGAAGCAGCUAAACAAGCAAAAUUGUUCGAAAAGCCAGAUCUGUCUCGCUUGGUGUUUAAAUGGGAGAGUGGGGAUCGGGAAAGCGAUAACCGUGAGGAGGAUGUGUUGGAAGGUCUCCAACCUCACCCAAAUUUGCAAGAGUUGGGAAUUUAUUAUUUUAUGGGUAAUAAAUUUCCACAAUGGCUUAUCAAUUUGUCAAAAUUGGAGACAUUGCGGAUAGAAGACUGCAAGAGAUACAGUGAACUCCCCGCAUUAGGACAACUGCCAUCCCUCAAACGUCUCUAUUUGACAAGAUUGAGAAACAUUCGAUCCAUUGGAGAUGAAUUCUACGGUAUUACUACUAAUGAGGAGGAGGAGGAGGAGGGAAGAUCACGAGCAUCAGGGAGCAGCACUAGAAGACGAAAAUUCUUUCCUGCCCUUGAAGAACUCUGGGUAAUACGUAUGGGGAAUUUGGUAGAGUGGAAAGGUGCAGACCAAGUGAGGUCAACAGUAGGUGAAGCAGAAGCAGAUGUCUUUCCUGUGCUGAGGCAUUUGAGCAUUCAACGUUGCCCACAGCUGACCACCCUUCCAUGCUCGUGUAAAAGUCUACACGUGAGGAAUUGCGAUAAUCUAACAAGUAUAAAAAUGGGUUACGGCACUGCUUCUGUUGAGGAGUUGAGGAUCCACUCUUGCGACAAUCUUAGGGAGCUGCCAGAUCUGGAUCUGUUUGGAUCGAGUUUGCGGCGGUUGACGACCGAAAGGUGCCCAAGAUUAAUUAGUCCAUACCUUUUCUUUGCUUUCGUAGUUUGUCAUGAUUGAAGCUGUUCUGAAAUGUAAUAUUAUGAUGUUUAUUCCAGAGUCUUAGGAAGCAGACCUCAUGUUAUUGGACAAAGGACACCACCAUUUGCCGUUGCAUUUCUGACUAGAAUGCUAAGGGAUAGAAGUUAUUUUCAUUGACCAGACAGGGUUUGAAGAUGAAGGCAGUUAUCAAUGAUGUUAAUUUAGCUCAUUAGAUAGCAUUAGCUUUGAUGGAUGUUUCACAAAUAGUUGGCUAGGUUUCUCAAACAACUAGUAUUUAAGGGUUGGCUAGGUUUCUCAAAAAAUUGAAGUUUAACAAAAAUGUCAUACAAUUCUAACAACUAGAGUUGUCAACAAUUGAAAUUGGUACUGACUAGUAUUUUUUUUUUUUUUUGUCAACGAUAACAGUAGCAUUAUUCUCCAAGAUACGUGUAAAUUACUUGCUAAUGUCAAGAGCCUAAUCUUCAAAACAAAAAACUUACUAAAGCUGUUAAAUUAAGUAUUUGUACUAAGAUUUUUAUUUUCCUCUUUUUUUCAAGUAAGGUGGGGAGAGAUAGGCAAUCCAUAGCAUUCUUUAAUCUUCAAUUUAGAGAAUAGGAGUCUUUUCUUUAAGGGUGCAUUUGAUAACAUAUUGAAACUUGAAAAUUAAAAUCUAAAAUCUAAAAUCUAAAUCCAUUAAGUUACUGAAUUGUUAAAUACUAAAUUUGAUACAUCUAAAUCCGUAAUUGUUCGAUUACCUCCGUUCCGGUAGCAACUGGUGUAAUUGGGUUUAUGUCAGGAAAAUAUACGAUCUAACUUAAACAAAUCCUCGUAGCGUGUUUGUUACUUUGGAUUGGACUUUUCUAAAUCUUAGUGCAGAUUAGAAAUUAAAUCCUAUGGUCGUACCUAGGAUUGUUUUCGGGUUAGAGAAAUAGUUAACGAUCAUACCUUAACUAUCGAAAAAUUAAGGAAAGACUGGUUGUUUAUCGUAUGUAUAAUAACUAUAACCAAUCUAUUAAUAACUGUUGGAAUUAUAUUUGAAUCGAUGAUCAGUUGCAUGAACCAUCUCUGAAGUGCACCCUUGGCUAGAGUUCUCCCUUUUAUUUCUUCCAAUCAAUUAUUUUUCGCAUUUAAUUUAUUUAGUUAGCAUUUAAUCCUGAAAUCCCCCAUUUGUCUUAACUCGAAAGGAAACGAACUUUUCCCCAGUCCCUGAGGAGAUGACCUGCUUACCACUGUCUACUAGUUAGUAAAUUUUGUCAGUAAUUAAUUCUGGUAUAUAGGAUUAAGCAAACUCUUCAGGAACAAGGUGAAUCAAGUAACCCAUUGCACACCUAAGGUCCCUGCUCCGGUACCUAGAAUUGAUUAUUGACAGCUUGAGGGUAGUUAGGUUUUAUUAUUAUUAUUGCACAGGUUUAGCACCUUUUCAAAAACCUAGAGUGCACGCAAAGUGACAGGUGCCGAACCUGUGCAAUAAUAAAUACCUACUCGAGAAAAAUACAGAUUUUGUAUAUAGCGGUGAGUAGGGUCGAAUCCACAGGGACUGGGGAUAAUUUGUUUCUUCUAGAGUCCAAAGUAUGGGGGGUUUUGGAUUAAAUGCUAACUAAAUAAAUUAACUGCAGAAAAUAAUUAAUUAAAAGAAAUGAUUGGGGAAACUCUAGCCAAGCGUACACAUCAGAAAUGGUUCAUGCACUGAUCAUUGAUGCAGAAAUAAUUCCAACAUUUAGCAAUAGAUUAGUUAUAGUUGUCAUGCACGCGAUAAACAACCAACCCUUCCUUAAUUUCUCGAUAGCUAAGGUACGACCGUUAGCUAUUUCUCUAACCCAAUAAUAACCCUAGGUACGACCGUAGGAUUUAAUUUCUAGAUUGCAUUAAUAAUUAGAAAGGCCCAAUCCUAACCAACAAACACGCUACGAGGGUUUGUUUAAAUUAGAUCAUAUGCUCCCCUGACAUAAACUCAAUUACGCCAGUUGCUACUGAGAUAGAGAUAACGAACAAUUACGGAUUCAAUUACCCCUAUUUAGCAAAAAUAGCCUAUAUGAAUAAUUAAUUAUUGCGCACUAAUCAAUCAUACACAAGGCCAUAGCAAUUAAAAUCAAGAAACAUAUAAAUACCAAUAAAUGAAGAAAAUAAUUAAAACAGAUUCGAUCUCACAGUAAUUGUCGAACCAAAUCGUCAGUUGUCCCCUUGACUAGAAAAGCUUAAUCACGCCUCAUGAGAAAAUCUCCCCGUUGGGGAAUAUUGUCGAACACCUGGCGUGUGUCAGAGGCCAGUCCAAAGAAAAGAAACUAGAACUAAACUAAAAAACUAAAACUAAAGCCCUAGAUAUCUUUUGCUUCUGUACGUUGUCCCCUUUUAAAGCAACAAAAGAAAGAUGACUAAAAGCUAUCUAGAUGGUCCCCACACAUGUGGACAAAGCCUCCCAAGUACUUCUUGUUCCAAGUCUCUCUACGUUGUUUUCUUUGAAGCCCAAAUGGCCAAAUGCCUUUCACUAGCUUGUGGUCCCCCACCAAUUCAAGGGCCCAAGGAUUGAAGCCCUUAGAAGUCUCCAUAUUUUUCACAAAAUCCCUCCUUUUUGGUAGUUUUCUGCUUCAUUCCUGAAAUUGAUUCCAAAUACCAAAUAUGAGUAAAUAUCAGCAAUUAACACAAUAUUUGUCAGGGAUAGAAGGGAAAAUUAAUAAUAAAAAUACUAACAAAUUAUACCCUAUCACAAAGGGCCAAGGUGUAAAACCCAAACAACACACCAAGUGUUUAAAUUUGAUAAUCUCUCUAUCUAUCCUUCUAUUAUAUCCACAUCUAUAUCUAUCUAUCUAUCUAUCUAUAUCUAUAAUCUAUAUAAAAGGACAAUGAGUUUUGGUAUUUUGGAGUGUGGGUGUAAGCAUUGUUAUGAUCUUAUUUUGUGUUAUUUGAAUUAUGCCCUUCUUAACUUGUGGUUAAGUUUCAUACAAUCUUAAGUAUGGGUUAAAGUUUAAUUAUGAAUUUCUAAUUAUUACAAUCACUAUAUUGCAUCAUACCAUAGUGAUUUAGAAAGAAAAAUCUCCUUAAAGUUAUAAAUAGUGAAAUGGUUUGAGAAAUAUUUGUCAAAUGAAUUAUAUGAGUUGUACACAUCCAAUUCAAAAGGGGAAGAACUUUUUAUGUUGCACACAAAGGACUUUCAAUAUACAAAAAAUUAGACACCUUCAUAUAACUGAAAUAACAAUAUUAAACUGAAGAAAAAGGAAAUCUGAAAUAGCCCAUACAAUCCAUCAUUAUUAUUAAUAGCAACCCUUCAUAACAAGAAAAACUGAAAAAAAAUGAAAAUUAUUCAUAAAAUGACAUAAAGCGAAUAGAAGUGAAUCAAAAAGCUAAAAGUACAACUCAAAUAAUACCACAAAUAACCUUCAAAUCACUUGAAAUUCUAAUUCAGGUGAGUCAAAUCUAAGGGAAGACAAAAAUUUGUUAUUGAUAGCAAUAGAGUAGUGCUUCAUUUAUAUUGUUUCGAGCAAAUCGAGUUAAUCCAGCAAGCUAUAUAGAAGCCAUCAGUCCAAGGAAAAGGAGAAGAAGAAAAGGUAGUCUGCGGUGUUGGUUGGUCUGAUACUUUUAGCUCUUUGUGGAAAUAUAAAUAGUAUUCAAGUGACACUGGAGAAUUCAAAAGGAACCAAAUCAAAAUACUAAUUACUAAACACACAAAAGAAGCACUCUUUUGACUCUUUAAAACUUUAGUUUCUAAACUACCUACACUUAAAAGCAUUGACAAUUUCCCAAUUAACACGGAUCAUACCAAAUAAAUUGCUUUUCUUUCUCUUCAAAUUAAUUUUGUUAAAUUUUCUACUUUAAUCCAACAAACUUAUCUUAGUCCACCAAGUCUAGUGAUUUUGUUUCUCAAUUAGUCUAAUGUAACCAAGAAGUUGCUUGAUGAAAUGAUGAAGUCCUGAUCCCUUCACACACCAUUUUUUUUUCCUAAUCCCUUCUCAUUUUUCUGUUACUUGCCCUAAUAAUUUGCGUAAUAAAGAUUUUUUAUAUUUUAAACGAUAAGUUAACAAUAAGAAAAAAAAAAGGGGCAUAUUAAGAAGAUGCAUCUUCAGGAACUAGCCGCCAGGCAUCCAAUUAAUUGACCUACAGAGAUGAACAAGCAUAAAUUGAUUAAUUACACUUGUGCAUGUUUUCCAGACCAGGCAACAUCUAAAACAUGUAUUCCUUUCAUUUUUUUUUUUUUACAAUAUAUUACUUACUUGCUUUUGUUUUUUCAGUUCUGACGAAGAUUUCAUAAACAAAUAUAAAGUGCAUUACUCGCUUGCCUUUUUUUUUCAGGUAAUUUACUAAUUAGUAACUAUAUUUUUCUUAAUAAUUAGCAAAUAUCAAUUAAUUAUAUUCUAAUUAAUUUCAUCCACUGCAAAUAUGUUUAGCAAGAUGACUUUUGAUUUAAACAAGUUUUUAUUUAUUUUACUGAUAGUACCACUGAAAAUUACUACUAAAUAGGAUUUCCUUUAGUGCAGUUUCGAAGUCAAUUCGUCCAAAUUUUCUGAAGAAGUGCUGCCUUGUCUUUAAUUACUUUAAUUUCAGUUUCAUCAAAUCACUUUUUCGGUUUUCAAUUUGAACAAAUAGAAGAAACUGGUUAAAAAAAAGGUACCAUUUUCCUAAAAAAUUGAUGUGAAGAAGUCAUAGACCAUUUUCACUUCUUUGUUAAUCAGACUUUUAUUUAUUUUACUAAUCGAUAUCUAAAAUAGUUCAUACCUAGUGCAUCCUAUAUAGUACUAGUAAACAGAAUUUCUUAAAUAAAUAAAGGCCGCCAGCAUCACAAGCCAUUGACCAAAGCUAGUAACAUGGCCUCAUCUUAAUGUGCUACUGGCAGAUAGAAUUUCUUAAUGAAGAAAUCACAAGCAAUUGACCAAGCCAAGAAUGAUGGCCUCAUCUUAAUGUAGCCUUAAAACUGUCUCUCUUUCUUUGAUAUUACCCCUUGUUUGGUACAUGGAAAUGCACGGAAUAGAAAGGGUUUCGACCAGAAUAUGUAUCCACCAGGAUGGUAGGGAAAAAAGUUACUAUUCCAGGGUUCGAUAUACAAGUUAGAAUGGAAUAUUUACUCAAUUUCCAAUUUUUGGUAUAAUCCAUUUUUAGAUGUUAGAAUGGAAUAUACUAAAUACAAAUUUGAUUUAAUUACCAUAGAUUAGUUUAUAGGACAUAAUAUAUCUUCUUUUUUUUUUUUGUUUUAUUUGGUCUACAAUAGCAUUUGUCUAUUUACGUGAAAUUUUGAUAUCUUUAUUUAAAAAUAAAUGAGGAUUGAUAUCAAAAUUCUUCAAUUGUAGUGAAGAUUCAAGUUAAAUUUCGUUUAUUACCAAUAUCAAUAGUAGCGUAAAAUGUAAAUUACAUGAAGUUAGACAAUUAUAAUUUAUUUUGAAUCUAUUUUCAAUUUUAAUAUGAGAUUCAAAAAAGAUUCUUGAACAGUUGUUCAAAAAUCAAAGAAUAAAGUAUCUUAAAACAUUUGUUUCCUAGUAUAAAAGAAAAAUAUUAUUCUAAGUACAAGGAAAAUUAAUUAUUACAAUAAUUACAUUCAAAUAUUAAUUGAGUUUAUAAAUAGCUUAAGAUAUGGCGAUGCAGUAGACUUGUGACGAUAAAUUGGAUAUCCAAGGAUGAAGGAGAAAAGAGCUUUCCCUAGAUUUUUUUUUUUUUUUUUUUUGAGGAAUGGGAUUCUAGAAAAAGUUAGAAUGAGCAUUUCAGGAAAAAAGAACUUUUCCACUUAAAUGAAUUAUACCAAACACUGAAAUGGAAUGAACAAGUUGGAAAGGCCUUUCUUUCUUGGUGUAUUUGUGAGGUGCAUUUAUGAGGAAGAAGCUGAAGUAUUCAAGAAGAGUUGGCUUAAUUGUUUAAGUAAUUGAGAAGAUUCUUUGCAGUGUGAAUAACAAAUAAACAUUGAGGGAAAAAAGAAAAAGAAAAAUGCAAAGUAGGAAGAUGCAUUUUCGAGGAAGUAGCCACCAGGCAUAUUCUAAUGCCACCAGCCAGAUUGAAUAAAUGAAAUAGGUAGAUAAAGCAGAAUAAAUUGAUUAAUCAGGGCGACAUUUCAGAUCUGUGUCUCCUGUUGCCAGCCCCUCAAUCAGUUUUAGUUAAAGUCAGCUCUUUUGAGUUCUGUACACUGUGUUACAUUAAUCGCAAUUAUACUAAUCUGAAUCUCACACAGGAAUCGUUAACUCAUCUCUUUCUUGUUCUGGGCUUCUAUUCUGAUUUCUACGAUUUUUUGUCGAAACAUUCCUUCCAUCUCUGAUAUCAGAAACCUGUCGAUCCUAGUUCCAAUUCCAAGCAAGAAACAAUGGCUGACGCUGCUAUCAGUGCUACUGUUAAGGUCGUCUUGGGGACAGUCAUUUCCAUUGCCGCGGACCGUGUUGGUAUGGUUCUCGGGGUCAAAGCGGAGUUGGAGAGACUAGGCAAAACUACUGCAACGAUCCAAGGUUUCCUGGCUGAUGCUGACGAGAAAAUGCAUAGCCAAGGGGUGCGAGGUUGGCUCAAGGAGCUAGAGGAUGAGGUUUUUAAAGCUGAUACCGUGCUAGACGAGCUCAACUACGACAAUCUUCGUCGGGAGGUGAAGUACCGAAAUCAACCAAUGAAGAAGAAGGUAUGCUUCUUCUUCUCCUUCUUUAAUGCAAUUGGCUUUAGUUCCAGCUUAGCUUCAAAGAUCCGGGACAUCAACACCAACCUAGAAAGGAUCAACCAGCGAGCCAAUGAGUUGGGAUUGGUCAUUAAGUACCAAAUUGAAGCUGCACUCCCUGCUGAUGCCGUUGGUGCCAGACAGACCGACUCUAUUGUCAUUCCGAACGUUGUAGGAAGAUCCGGCGACGAGUCAAAGAUUGUGGACAUGUUAUCGAGCCCAUCUGAAAAGGUUCUUUCUGUUAUUCCCAUAACAGGCUCGGGAGGUUUGGGAAAGACAACUCUGGCGAAAUCAGUCUACAAUAAUCCAAAAAUAGAUGGGCACUUUGGCCAAAAAAUUUGGGUUUGUGUGGCUAAAGAACACAUUAAGAUAAUGGAGCUGUUCAAGCUCAUUUUAGUACAAUUGACACAAGACGAAGUUAAAGUGGAUGACAGAGAGGUUAUCGUUAAAAAAAUUGGAGAAAAGCUCAAGGGACAAAGAUAUUUCCUUGUUCUUGAUGAUGUGUGGGAUCAUGAUCAAGGAUUGUGGGAUGACUGUUUCAACACUUUGAUGGGACUCAACGAAACCAAAGGAAGCUGGUGUCUUCUCACCACUCGUCGGGUACCAGUGGCUGAUGUUGUAUCUACACAUUUGAAGAUGAAUAGCGGUCCUUAUUUCUUAGGAAAGCUAUCACGUGAUGAGUGCUGGUCCAUCAUAAAAGGAAAGGUGAUGAGUGCAGGGGAAGAAGUACCAGAAGAAUUGGAAGCAUUGAAGAAGCAAAUUUUAGGGAGAUGCGAUGGCCUACCCUUGGCAGCAAAGUUAAUUGGAAGUUUGUUGCUUAACAGUGGAAAAGAGGAGUGGCAAUCUAUUGUGGAAGAGGGUCUCAUUGUGGAAGAGAGUCUUUUGAAUGAAUAUCAAAGCCAAAUUAAUCAAAUACUUAAGGUGAGCUUUGAUCAUUUAUCACCUGCAUCAGUUAAGAAAUGUUUUGCAUAUUGCUCGAUUUUUCCCCAGGACACUGAAUUGGGGGAAGAUGAACUAAUUCAGCACUGGGUUGCUAAAGGUUUUGUUCUACCAGAUCAGAAAAAUAAUAGAGUGAUGGAGGAAACAGGAGGCAAGUAUUUGAGGAUUUUGUUGCAAAAUUCCUUGCUGGAAAAAGUCGAAGAGUCGUGGAGAACGUACUAUAAAAUGCACGAUCUCGUGCAUGAUUUUGCAAAAUCAAUUCUUAAUCCAGAAAGCAGCAAUCAGGAUCGCUACCUUGCAUUGGACUCUUCUAAAGGUUUGGAAGAAAAUACCAUAAGGACAAUACCAGCAUCAAUUCGCACGUUAUUUCUCCAUGUAGAGGGUGGCGUAUCUACUGACAUGAACAUGCUUUUAAGAUUCAAGUGCUUGAAUGUUCUCAGAUUGUCCGGCGAUGAUGUCAAGUUUCUACCGAGCUCCAUUGGCAAACUACUACAUUUGCGGUUGCUCGACAUUUCAUCUUCUAGAAUCAGAAGUUUGCCGGAAUCUCUUUGCAAGCUAUAUAAUUUGCAGACACUAACUAUGAGAUAUGGUGAAUUUGAAGGAGGUUUUCCAAAACGGAUGAGGGAUUUGAUUAGCUUGCGACAUCUAAACUACUAUCAUCGUCGUGCAGAAUUUAAAAUGCCAAUGCAGAUGGGACGAUUGACUUGUCUUCAAACUCUAGAGUUCUUUAAUGUAAGUCAGGAGGAGGGUUGUGGUAUCGAAGAGCUUGGGACCUUGAAAUAUCUGAAAGGAUCGUUGAGGAUAAGAAAUCUUGGACUAGUGAAGGGCAAAGAAGCAGCUAAACAAGCAAAAUUGUUCGAAAAGCCAGAUCUGUCUCGCUUGCUGUUUGAAUGGAAGAGUGGGGAUCGGGAAAGCGAUAACCGUGAGGAGGAUGUGUUGGAAGGUCUCCAACCUCACCCAAAUUUGGAAAUGUUGGAAAUUCAAUAUUUCAUGGGUAAUAAAUUUCCACAAUGGCUUAUCAAUUUGUCAAAAUUGGAGACAUUGUGGAUAGAAAACUGCAAGAGAUGCAGUGAACUCCCCUCAUUAGGACAACUGCCAGUCCUCAAACAUCUCCAUUUGGAGGGAUUGGACAACAUUCGAUUUAUUGGAGAUGAAUUCUACGGUAUUACUGCUAAUGAGGAGGAGGAGGAGGAGGGCAGAUCACGAGCAUCAGGGAGCAGCACUAGAAGACGCAAAUUCUUUCCUGCCCUUGAAGAACUCUGGGUAGAAGAUAUGGGGAAUUUGGUAGAGUGGAAAGGUGCAGACCAAGUGAGGUUAACAGUAGGUGAAGCAGAAGCAGAUGCCCUUCCCAUGCUGAGGAAUUUUAACAUUCAAAAUUGCCCACAACUGACCACUCUUUCAUGCUCGUGUAAAGGCCUAUACGUGAGGAGUUGCCAUAAUCUAACAAGUAUAAAAACCGGUUACGACACUGCUUCUGUUGAGGAGUUGAGGAUCCACUCUUGCGACAAUCUUAGGGAGCUGCCAGAUCUGGAUCUGUUUGGAUCGAGUUUGCGGCGGUUGACGAUCGAAAGGUGCCCAAGAUUAAUUAGUCUAGGAGUAAAUGGACAGAAAUGCCCCCUUUUACGAUGCCUUGAGGAAUUGAGUAUUGAUGAUUGCGAAGGGUUGACCACUAUAUCCGCCAAAAUGUUCCAGUCAUGCCGGUCUCUGCGGUCCCUGUCGGUGAAGUGUUGUCCCAAUCUGGUAUCAUUUUCGCUUAAUUUGCAGGAGACGCCUUCUCUCGAGAAAUUCGUCUUAGACACCUGUCCCAAAUUGAUCCCUCAUAGUUUGAAAGGAUUUGCUUUUGCCACCAGCUUAAGAGAAUUGAGCAUCAACAGUCCCUUCUCCUCAGAUGACUCCUCAGUCGAUGAUUUUGAUUGGUCUGGUUUAAGAUCUGCAUCAACACUCCGUGAGCUUCGAUUAGAAGGGUUACCUCACACGGAGUCCCUGCCACACCAGCUUCAAUACUUGACUACCCUCACUUCACUAAGUCUGGACAACUUUGGAGGAAUAGAAGUGCUACCGGAUUGGAUUGGAAACCUUGUGUCCCUUGAAACCCUAGAGCUAUGGGAUUGCGACAAGCUUCGAUCUUUACCAUCCGAGGCUGCCAUGCGACGACUCACAAAGUUAAAUCAUGUUGAAGUUUAUUGGUGUCCUCUGUUAAGACAACGAUACACUCCCCAAAGAGGCGUCCACUUGAAGGAGUAUAUUUCAAGUGAUCUGGUGAGAUUUUCCUAUCUAAAGCUCACACUUGUUACCUUCUAUUUGGCCAAGCAUGAAAUUAUUAGCAACGGUGCAUACACAAUUAGAGCCUCUCUGUUUGAAUGUGUUAGCAAAUGUUUCAUUGGAUGUGCAAUGCUAGAUGUACAUGCAAGCAUUCGUCAUUUUUUUGUCACUGAUAUUGCCAGUCUGAAUGGACGACAUUAAAGCUAAUCAAGAAAUAGUUGUGAAGAAAAUUUGCUGUUCUUUGGGACUCUAUGUUCUUAUUGCCAUGAAAUUAUAUCAGUCUCCUUGAAGUUCAAAUAUGUUUGUUGAGGAACUAGAGUGCUGCAAACCUUCACCCCUUACAAUUGCUGAUGCAUGCUUCAUAAGAAUGACAAUAAUAUGGGAUGGUUGUUUAUCAUCUUCCACAAGUUCGUACAUUUGCUUUUUUGUUUUGUGAGCUGAAUUACUGUAUUGUUACCUUGUAGACAAGUGGUGACAGCGAACAAGAAGGCAAUAAUGGUGCUCAAACAUCAGUCUCAUGUUGUUUCCCAUCGUUGCUGAAGAAGGAGAAACCAGGAGGUAUGAUGGUUCUCAAACAUCAGCUUCUCUCCCCAAUAACUCUUUUAAACCUCCACCCAAUUUAUUAAAAAUACAAGGGAAUUGGUGCAAGUUUUUAUCAAAGUAUGCUUGAGUGAAAACAGGGUGUUUUUCUGCACUUUCAUGUACUUUGAACUUUUGUCCUAUGCUAUAUAGCUUAGUUUUUAAUCUUUAAGAUUGUACAUUUACUAGGUGCCUAACAUGUCAUUUGAUUGUGAAAGACGCUGGUUUUUUCCAUUUUCUUGUACUGGUUACUAGACCAUGCCUUUUCUUUGCAUUCCUUAGCUGUCAUAACUAAAUUCAUACUGAAAUGUAACAUUACGAUGGUAUUUUCCAGAGUCUUAGAAAGCAGACCUCAUGUUGUUGGACAAAGACACCACCCUUUGCUGUUGCAUUUCUUACAAGAUUGCCAGGGGCCAGAAGUUAUUUUCGCUCAUUAGACAGGUUUGAAGAUGAAGUUAGCAAUCAAUGAUGAGAAUUUUGCACAUCAGAGAGCGCUAGCUUUGAUGGAGGCUUCGCCAAUAGGUGGUUCUCCCCAGGUCUCCCAAACAUAAUUUUUUACUCAUCUCCUGCUCGGGCUGCAGAAAGAAAGGUAAUAAUUUAGCUUGUUCAUCUUCAGGGCAGUUUUGAUAGUUUUUAUCUGCAUUCUUGAUAUGUAUUUUGUAAAUCAAUUACCAAAACUUCUUUUUUCCCUUUGGUGUAACAUGCUGAUUGCUGAACAAAUUGAAAGAGACCAAAAUUCUGUGUUUUCUCUGCCUCUCUGAACUACUGAAAGAUUGAAACAUCUUAAAUCUCUUUAAGUGCAACUUGUUACAUUCUAUUUGGCCGAGCACAAAUUUAUUAGCAAUGGUUCACAUCCAAUUAGCCUCUUCGUUUGAAUGUGGUACAAAAUGUUUCAUUUGAUUUGCAAUGCUAGAUGUACAUGGACACAUUCUUAAUUUUUCUGUCACUGAUAUUGCCAGUCUCAAUGGAUAACAUUAAAGCUAGUUGAGAAAUGAUUUUCACAGAAAACUCAUGAUACAAUUUGCUGUUCUUUGGAACUGUGUACUUAUUGCCAUAAAAUUAGAUCAGUCUAAUUGAACUUCAAAUAUGUAUGUGGAGGAACUAGAGUCCUGUGAACAUUCACCCCUUAUAAUUGAUACUGCAUGCUUCAUAUCAAUGACAAUAAUGUCUUUUUCUUUUCAAUGACAAAAAUGUUGGAUAAUUGUUUAUCAUCUUUCACAAGUUUGGAAAGUUUAUAAGUCACAAUUGCCUUGAUUUUCUGUUCAGUGAUCUGGAUUACUGUAUUGUAACCUUGCAGAUGAAAAAUGCAAGGAAUGAUGGUGCUCAAAUAUCAGCUUCAUGUUGUUUCCCAUUGCUGCUGAAGAAGAAGAGCUCAGGAGGUAUGUGGUGCACAAAAGUGAUAAUGCAGCACUUCUCUCCCCAAGAACUAUAAGUUUGCAUUCUGGUAUGCUUAAGUCAUGUAAUUGGCAAGAAAACAGUGUGUUUUUCUGCACUUUUAUUUGUUGUUGAAUGUUUACCCUGUGCCACAUAGCUUAUCUUUUGCUCUUGAAGAUUUUUAUGUUUAUUUGGUGCUUAACAUGUGUUGUGAUUGUGAAAGAAUCUGGAACCUGUUCUGAAAUGUAUUAAUAUGAUGUUUAUUCCAGAGUCUUAGGAAGCAGACCUCGUGUUAUUGGACAAAGGACACCACCGUUUGCCGUUGCGUUUCUGACUAGAGUGCCAAGGGACAGAAGUUAUUUUCAUUAACCAGACAGGGUUUGAAGGUAAUAAUUUAGCUUGUACGUCCUUAGGGCAGUUUUAAUAAUUUCUGAUCUGCUUUCUUGAUAUGUAUUUAGUAAAUCAAUUACCAAAACUUUUUUUAUUUCUUUUGCUGAUUGCUGAACUGAAAAUGGCUAGUAACAGGCUUGUAGAGUGUGACAUGGAUGAAGAACAAAGAGAGGGGAGCAUCAUCCGAGCAUGGAAGCUGAUACUGGAGACCUAUCAAGGUGCGCAGCUGAUUUUAGGCAAAUUAGACUGAUGGACUUGUUGGUAAAGAAGUUGGAUGUUUGUGACAGUAGAGACAAUAAAUUGGAUAAACAAUCAAUUUGGAGCAGUGAGAGAAAUGCAGAUACAAGAAGUCUUGAUUUGUACAAAGGUCCAAGGAAGAGGAGGGAAAACGUUCUUUUCAGUAGAUGUGUGCAUAUUUUGUGAAGAAUUAACACACUUUAAAAGCUGGCAUUUCAUACUUUUGGUGUAUCAGAAUGUGACAAGUCCUGAUAGUACGUUUUCUUCAUCUUUUACAGUGAGUAAAAGUAUGUCUAGAGACCAUAUUUGUAAGAUUUCCUACCCCUUUUUUAGUUUGGCAUUUGAUGGAGAGAAUUUAGAACUCUUAUUACUUUUCCUCUUCAAGUAAUCAUUUUUUGUUAUCUCUGUCGGCUUGUCAAUAUCACCUGAUACUGCGAAACUGCUUAAUCCAGUGGUUUGUUAAUUAGCCACCCAUGCUUUGGGUUCACAAACAAAUCAUAACAGUAAAGUCUAAAUGAUGAUCUUAUUGUUAAAGGCUUUUAUAUAAAAAUAGGUACCUAAUACAAGUGAAACAACGACUAACAUUAUUUGUACUAAUUCUAGAUUCGUGAGAUCUGCAUGCCCAUCAAACAUUCUACUUGGUACAUUUUAUGAAAUUUUCAUCAGUAUUGAGUAAAUUAGUCAUCCUCUUUCCAAAAUUUUAAAUUAAACUGCAAUAUCUAAUAUUAGGUCGUAUUAUAAAUUUUCUCCUUUCUAGUUCUCCUGUGCCGCCAUUGAAGUUCAACAAAAAUGUCAUACAGUUCUAACAAAGAGUUGCCAACAAUUGAACUUGGUACUGACUAUUGACUUGGUAAAACUUACUGUUAAACUAAGUAUUUGUACAAAAAUUUUUAUUUUCGUCUCUUGUUUCAAGCAAAGUAGGGAGAGAUGACCAAUCCAUAGCGCUCUUAUUCGAUAGAGGAGAACGAGAGACUUUUCUUUAAGUUGGACAGGUUUCAAGUGAACCAACUACUACUAGAAUAUUUGGGCACCAAAGAUAGGCUUAAUGCUCUCUCUGGUUGUAGAUCAAAAGAUCAAAUUUCUUGAUUUGCAUUCUUCUUUGUAGAAUUUCUUGAAAAUUUCAUCAGCCGAUACAUAAGUAUUUGUCUAAUCUCGUGGCAGUUCAGUCUCCUUUAAGUGCUUCAUUGAUCGUUUUGGGUCCAUCCCAUCGUCCUAAUGUAAAGUAGGAAUAGGUAUAGAAUAAGAUUUGUCCAGUCAACAAAAAAAAAAAAGGGACAGGUUUCAACUUAAAACCAAUGAGUCCAUUAGGCUACAAUAUUUGCAAAAAUAAAUAAAUAAACAUUGUUUAAUUUCAUAAAUAUAACUUUUAACCAUUUUUUUUAUCUUAUGUAUGUCAUACCAUUAAAAGUACUACAAUGCUAUAAUUCCAUUAGGCUACAAUAUUUGUAAAAAAAAAAAUUUUUUUUAUUUAACUUCAUAAAUAUAACUUUUAACCUUUUUUAUCUUACAUAUAUCAUACUAUUAAAAGUGCUACAAUGCUAUAAUUCGUUAUUGAUUCUUUGGACUACGAAAUUCUUUUCUCAUGUUUGCUCAGAAAUGAGAAAUGAGACAUUAGUCUUCAUUCUUCAGUUGAACUUAGAUGUUUUAGACUUUUAGUGAAGCAUUUCUUUCAGGUAAAAUAAAUUUCACUAAUGCAUUUAAAUAAUUAUAGAAAACUACUGUUCUCUUGAAUUUAGAUCAUAAAAUAUUUAAAGGUCAAUAUGGGACAUGAGACUUUAGUCAUUUGAACUUCAACGUUUUAAACUUUUAGUGAAGCAUUUCUUUCAAGUAAAAUAAAUUUCAGUAAAGCAUUCAAAUAAUUAUAGAAAACUAUUGUUCACUUGAAUUUGGAUCAUAAAAUAUUUAAAGGUCAAUAUGAGACAUGAGACUUUAGUCUUCAUUCUUUAGUUGAACUUAGAUGUUUUAGACUUUUAGUGAAGCAUUUCUUUCAGGUAAAAUAAAUUUCACUAAAGCAUUUAAUUAAUUAUAGAAAACUAUUGUUCUCCUGAAUUUUUUUUUCCGUAAUGGCACAUUUAGCUUAAUUUAACCUACUCCUACUUCUAGUCCUACUCUAGGAGGAAGGAGGAGUGGCCCAACAGAACUGAGAGAACCGACGGGGACUGAACUACCGUUGCACCAGAUGAGUGCACCACGCACCCGUCUAGAUUUAGAAGAAACUACAUAUAGUGGCACAUUGAUGAGAGGUAAAAUUUGAAUCUUUGAUCAUCCAAUGCACAAUUCAUGUGAUGGCCAACUCCUCUAGAGUAAGUUGGUAAUUGUUCUCUUGAAUUUGGAUCAUAAAAUAUUUAAAGGUUAAAUAUAUUGAUUCCUUUGUUGUCAAACCUCAAAGUAAUUAUCAAAGAAACUUUUGCAAUAAUAUCAUACCAAAAGAUUCAUAAUCCAUGCUAUAUUGCAUUUUGGAAAUGAUACCUUCCCAGUCCUACCAAAAUCACAAUACUAUAGUACAUAUAAUCAGUUAACUUGGUCUUCGUGAAGUACAUAUAGUCUGUGUUCGACCCAUUUCUUUGACAAAAAUAAAAAACAAAAAUGAUACUAGUAAAAGAAAUGACCAUAUGGUCAAAACAGUAAUAAUGCUAGAUUCAAACGUAUGAAAUCCUUCGUGGACUAAAUUGCAAAUACCCUUGUCCCUUGACAGACCGAUACUUCCUUAUUUACAAAGGAUUCAAUUCCGCAAUUACUUCAGCUGAAUUCGAGUAGCUUUAUGAAUUUUCAAAUCAAACUCAAGAAUAAUAAUUGUCUAUUCAAAAUCAAUGUUAUAAAACCUAGUCCAAAUUGGCUGGUCGGCCUUCUUUUUGGUAUUGGUUUGGUUAAAAAACCAAUUAGUAUCAAUUUAUAGUUAAACCAGUUGAACCGUCCAGUUGAGCCAGCCAAAGCAAGAACAAAGCGUAUAUUAUUGAAAUUUUCAUCAGUAUUGAGUAAAUUAGUCAUCCUCUUUCCAAAAUUUUAAAUUAGACUAUUGUAUUCAAUAUUGUGGUCGUAUUAUAAUUUUUCUCUUCUCUAAUUCUCCUAUGCUGCCAUUGAAGUUUAACAAAAAUGUCAUACAAUUCUAACAACUAGAGUUGUCAACAAUUGAACUUGGUACUGACUAGUGUUAUUUUUUUGGUCAAAGAUAACAGUAGCAUUAUUCUCAAAGAUAUGUGUAAAUUCCAUCUUAUCUUGCUAAUAUCAAGAGCCUAAUCUUCAAAAAAAAAAAACUUACUAAAGCCGUUAAAUUAAGUAUUUGUACUAAGAUUUUUAUUUUCCUCUUUCUUUCAAGUAAGGUGGGGAGAGAUGAGCAAUCCAUAGCAUUCUUCAAUUUUCGAUUUAGAAAAUAGGAGUGUUUUCGUUAAGGGUGUGUUUGAUAAAAUUGAAACUUGAAUGAAAUCUGAGGUCUAAAUUUAAAUCCAUUAAUUACUAAAUUGUUAAAUACUAAAUUUGAUACAUUUAAGUGUAUAUCACAUUAAGUGAUAUUCACUUAUCACUUAUUUUUUAGAACAAGUUUUGCAUAGGAAAUUCAUUGCCACUUAAUUAAUCCAUAUGUUUUAGUGUUAGUUAUCGGACGCAUCUGAACAUAAUAAGCUAUGAAUCCAUUAAAUUUAAGUGUUAAAUUGGGUUAUCAAACAGAAUCCAAGUUUAACAGAAUUUCAACUAAAAAUCAAUAGGUUCGUUGAGCUAACAUAAUUAGCUAAUAAUAAUUUCAGAUAUUGUUCUGAGAAAUGAGACAUGAGCCUGUAGUCUUCAUUCUCCAGUUGAACUUAGACGUUUUAGACUUUUAGUGGAGCACUUCUUUCCAGUAAAAAUAAAUUUCACUAAAGCAUUUAAAUAAUUAUAGAAAACUAUUGCUCUCUUGAAUUUGGAUCAUAAAAUAUUUAGCGGUCAAACAUAUUGAUUCCUAUGUUGUUGAACCUCUCAGUAAUUAUCGAAGAACCUUUUGCAAUGAUAUCCUGGCAAGAGAUUCAUAAUCCAUGCUAUAUUGCAUGUUGAAAAUCAUACAAAAAAACCUUGCCCAAUCCUACAAAAAUCACAAUACUGUAGUACAUAUAAUCAGUUAACUUCUGGUGUUCGUGGAGUACAACUGUUUGACCCAUUUCUUUAGCCCAAGAUAAAAUUUAUAAGUAGCGAAAGAAAUGACCAUAUGAACAAAACAUUAGGGAAAAAUACACUUUACCCUCAUGUAAUUUAGCACUUUUUCGCAUAAUCUCCCAUAUAGUUUUAAAAGCUAUACAUAACACCUCAUGAUUUGGAUUAAAGUACCAAAAUGACGGAAUUUGUAUUCUAUAAUGGAGUCAACUAAAAUAUCAACAGUACCCCUAUGUAAAGUUGAAAAUUAUUUAUUCACCACGAGAGUUUAUAUAUAUAUUUUAAAAAUCAUAAAGGGAUUAUAUGGUAAAUCACUAAAUCAUAAAGGAGUUAUAUGAUAAACCAUAAAAUCAUACGAGGUUAAAGUAUCAUACAUAUUAUGUUUAUAUAUUUUGGUCACUUCAACCAAUUUAGUUUUUAAACAAGAGUAAUUUCAACAUUUUCAUGGAUUCCAUUACAAAUGAUCAUUUCUGUUACUUUAACACUUUAAUUUAAACUAUGAGAGAGUAAUAUAUAACUUUUGAAACUAUAAAGGGAUUAUAUAAAAUAUUACUAAAUCACAAGGGGUAAGUGCGUUUUACCCAAAACAUUAAUACUAGAUUCAAACUAAUGAAAUCCUCCAUGGAUUGAAAUUGCAAAAACCCUUUUCCCUUGGCAAGCCGGGACUUUCUCAUUUACAAAGGAUUCAAUUCCACAAUUGCUUAACUCAGAGCUGAAAUCGUGUUGCUCCAUGAACUUUCAAAUCAAACUCGAGAACGAUACCGCCUACUCAAAACCAUUAAAACUAUGUUGAACUGAGUUUGAGGCAAGGACUGUUGCAGGAGGCAACUCUCCAGAAUGCUUGACCGUCAUGAUUUGGUUAAAAAAAAUGUUAGGAUCAAAUAACAUCUUGUAAAUCAAUUUUAACACCAUAUAUGAGAUCCACAAAAUUUUAUUCUAUGUUUAUAAGUUGUUGAAAAUAAGUUACAUUCUAAAUAAAAUGAGUUACAUCCUGUGCAAAUGAAACAAAAUUGAUCCAAAUAAUUUUUCUGACACCCUUUUGGACCCCUGGUCCAUGGUGAACUUAUUACAAUACAUAGAGACCUUCUCUUAUAGACUAUAUAUCAGUGUACACCAUUACACUAAUAAUUGAGUCUUGCUUGUGAGGCUAGCAACAGUGGUCCACAAUAGACCUUUCAUAAGACAUACUUGGUUUCUAAAAUAUCCUUCGCAUUUCGUUAAAUAAAGUAUUUCAUCAUUCACUUUUAAAAUGAUAAUUUUACAUUUUAUUCAAAAUCAAAUCAGUAAAAUUUGGUUCCAAUCUAGAUUUUUUACUACCUUUUAUCCUAAAUCCAUCAUGUGACCCAUAUGUAGAGCUGACCAAAAAACUCAAAACCCAACAACCCAUCCAACUUGCCCAUUAAUUUUAAAGGAUGGAUUGGGUCGACUGGGUCAUGGGUUUUAUUGGUUUGGGUAAGAACCAUCCAACUUUUUUUUUGGUAAGCCGAAACAUGCCCCGACCUGAGCCCUUUGGACCCGAGCCGGCACACCAAACCGGAGGGAAGCCGACAGCCCCAUACAGCUUUCCCGAGCGAGUCAAGAUGUGCGACGCAGCGGGCACGAUUCGAACCCUGGUCAGUAGGGAAGCCAGCAAUACAAGGCCGACCCCUCAACCGCUGUGCGAUAUGCCCUGGGGGCAACCACCCAACUUUUAUUUGGGCACCCAACCCAACUUGUUUAAAAGUAAUUUAAAAUAAUAAAUACAAGAUUCAAUACACAUAUGCCCAACUACUUGCAUUUGGACAUGUGUUAAUAAUUCAUUGACCAGUUUGUAUUCAAAAUUCUCAUAUAUAUGUUUUCAAUCAAUUUUUUUAAUUUUAUUUGAAAGAAAAAAAAAACUUGAAAUUAAAACUCAUGCUUGUUUUACUUUUAUAAUAGUAGUUAAACUUGCUCAACUUCUACAAUAAUUUAUUAUGCCUUUUAAGAGUGUGUUGUUUUCCUCCCCCUUUUUCCCUUUUUUUUGUGGUUGUUCUCAAGUUGCUACUUGCUUUUGUUUGUCAAUAUUUCAUGUACAUAGAAUAGAGUUUUAAAUUUGUUCUAAUUGCAUUCUUUUUUAAUAUUUUGUGAUUGCUUUUGUUUGUUAAAAUUUUGUGUACGUAUAAUACUAUACAAAUUUCUUUUUUAACCUUUUUAGCAUUAUAUAAUUUUGGAUUCUUCAAAUUUACAAACAAAAGCUUACUUUGUAUCAGCCUAAUAUUCUGCUAAUUCAAAAUCAUGCGAUCCCAAUGUGGUAAAAAUGUCACAACAGUUCAUGAAUUCUUCUCUCAUUUAUUUCUUAAAAAGUUUGGGAUUUUCCUUAAUAAUUUUUUCGGGGAUCAAUACCAAUACCUUUUAUAAGCAUAUAAUAUUUUCUGCUUUAUGUCAGAGCCGUGGUAAUUCUAAAAGAUUAAUAUGACCAUAGCAUCAAGUAUGAUCCUAAAUGGUUCUAAUUAAUUAGGUGAUGAAUUAUCUAAUUGUAUCAAAUCAAUGAAAAAAUACCUUCUAUAUAGAUCAUGAUAUUAACUUCGAAUCAAUAUAGUUGACUUGCAAAUUCUAUUUUGUUUUGAUUAACUAUGGCUAGUCCAACGAUUGAUUUCAUUUCGUCUGAAGCAAAUACCUCCAAUAUUCUUCAAUUUCAUGAGAAGCUUCAUUUCGUACCUAGGAUUUAUUAAAUGGAUCUAAAUGGAUCGGAUAAAUUUCAUCCACCAUCCAUUAAGUCAAAACCAAUUAUGAAUCAUUUAUCCAUAUUACCACCUCUACUUAUAUUCUUUUCAAGUGGUUUACUUGAAUUUGUUUAGUAAGAUUGAAUCCAGAUAGAGGAUGAACUACAUUCAACACAGGAUAUGGUAUUAAUGAGUCAGUCGGUGGCGUUGAAUUAGAGUAAACUAAAAUUAAGAAAAGACUUCACUUAAAAAGUAUCAAUAGACUUUGUUUUGGCAAACCUUAGGAGAGAUAAAUGUAGUUGAUCGAACAUGAUUAGAAUAAUAUACCAUCCAAAUCUAUUUUCAGUUGAGGAACCACAUAUGUUACAUUUAUGCAUUCAAAUCUACCAAUUGUGAUGCUUUAACAGCACCUUCUUGAUUAUGUAAAUAUUUUUCUAAUUUUUUUUAUGCUUUGAGGGAUAAUUUCUAAAAUUUAGUUUUUUUAAGAGUAAAAUGUCCUUUUUUUUUUAAAUAUAAAUUCUAGCCAUAUAUAGAUAUGUGAGUUUGCUUUAGUAAUAUAGCGAUUUAGAUUUCUUUCGUUAGAAUACAUUGACAAUGAAUUUCAAUGAUUUUCUUAUAAUCCCAUUCAUGAAUAGACUUCUAAUUAUUCCUUGGGCUAUUUACAUAAUACUAACAUUGAGUGAUUCUUGCAAUAUUGCUCAUAAGAGGGACAAAGUCAAUAUGACUCUCUACCUUGAAAGUUAAUUUGUUUGAACUUCAAGUUAAUAUUGUAAGCAAAGGAUAAAAUUAGCGUGAAAAGUAUAUUAGUCUGUAUUUGAGGCUUACAAUGUUUUAGCAAAUGCUUGGUAAUCCCCUUACUAAUCAAAUUCGAUGAUAAAUUACUAAUUGAUUUUCUAGAUAAAGUCACCAUAUCCUUUACUUAAGCAUUAAGAGAUGAGGCAAUCCUAUCAAUGGAGAAGACCUUAGAAUAGUUGGUGAGGUGGUAAGGAGCUUUUCCUAAUUUUUCCUUAAUAAGAUUUUUAUUCCUAUCUUUUCUCAAAAUAAAUUUUUUAGCUUUAGUAGCCUGGCUAUUUGAAACAUUUGCAAGUGAAGCUCCAUGAAAACUGCGUUAGAGUUUGCUUAUUCGAGAUAAGGCAAGUGAAAAUGCCAAGCAACUUCCAGUGCAAAAGCAUUCAACUAUGCCAACGAAGCAUUGCACUUCUACACGGAUUGAGGGCUCACAAUUGGUCACACCAUUAUCCUUUUUUUGUCAUGAGAACAUAAUACUAGAAAUAUGCAUAUGAAAUAUUUCACUUAUUAUGGCAAUUAUACACCUUCAAUGCAACGCAUGUAGAAUUUAAACAUUAGUUUAUGUUGUAAUGAAUAUGUAAAUAAGAGUUACAUUAUGGCUAAUCUUUGCCAUAGAGCAUCUCAAGCAAACAGGCCUAAUAAUUGUUAAGGCACUUUUUAUCUAUUCAAUGAGAUUGAAACAAAUGCACCGUUCAAGUUAUUCUUUGUCAAAAGUCGUCAGUCAAGCACUUCAGCAAAAAACAAGAGAGGUGUAAUUGUUCACGCCCCGUUCUUGAUAAGAUGGAAGCAAAUGCAUCAUUCAAAGUUAUUCUUGUCCAAAAUGCAUUCAUCAUUUUUAAAAGGCUCCAUGAAAGUGAGCUCAACGUUCUUGGUCGUGUGUAAGUUUAAAAGUACUUCAUAUGUCAAGAUACUAUUGAUUCUUAUUUUCUCUUUAAAAAAUAAAAGUUCAAGUAAUUUGACAUCACAAGCCCGAUUACUGAGACACAAAGGCAAGUAUAAGUGUUUUACAUGUUUUUCAAAUUAAGAAUAUGUUAUACAUCCCCCAACAAAUCUUAAAAGAAAAAAAAACUUCCUUUCUUGCUUGAAAAAUUGCAUUGUAACGCGUUCUAUUGUUGGGCCAAUUAAGCCUCAUGAACGAGAUACGGAGGUCAUUGUCUACGAGUAAAUUUCCAAAUUCGGCUGCCUUUUGAAGCUAGUUUGUAAAACGUAAAAGUUUUUAAACAAAGAACGCAUUUACUAUAUCCAUUGUUUAAAAAUUUAGAAAAAAAAAUAUAGUUUUACUCCUUAUUGUUUAGUCUCUGUACAGUUUUUGAUCUUAAAGUUUUAGCAAAAGUAAAUCUAGUCGUUAAUGUAUAGUAUAUGUACAGUUUUAGCCCUCCGGGGAUUGGUCUGGUGGUUGAGGUUGCUGAAGAUGGAGACUUAGGUCCCUGGUUCGAACCUUGCUGCCAGCAAGUUGUGGAGGGUAGGGAAUAGUCUGCGGGACUCACUCCCUCUGGGACACCCCUAAAAAAAAAGUAUAGUAUAUGUACAAUUUUAGUCUCUAAAGUUUUGGCAAGAGCAAUCCGAUUUUCAAUGUCACCAAUUUGAAGCAUUUUAAGGACCAUUGCUAAAUUUUUCUAAAUAUUAAUCAAAUCAGUCACGUGCAAUCACAUGUUUGUUAAAAAAAAACCUUCUUAAAAGAGAAUCAAAAUAAUGAGUAAUCUUUAACAAUAAGAAUAACUUGCAUGCUAACACAUUAGUAACAAAUUACUCAAGAAAAAAAGAAAGAAAAUUUGUUAAUCUAUACUAAAAAUUAGGAAUCACAUUUUUUUUACUUGGAGACACUAGAGAUAGUUAGUGAACAUGAAUUCUAGAUCAAUGAACUUGGUAUAUUGAAGUUUGAGUUUAAAAAUUUUCCUUCUUUUUAUUGGUUAAAUAGUUAACAAAUAAGUUAUUAGUUCUUAAUUUUAUUGUUUAAAGUUAGCUACUAUUUUUCUUCUUUAUUUUGAAAUUUAAUUUAAUAGGCAAUUGAUCAGACAUGACUAAAUUUUGUUAGUAAUUGAGAUAAAAUUCUUCAAAUGUCCUAAAUCAGCUUUAAAUUGAAUAUAAAGGGGACCAGAUUUGCUCUUGCUAUAACUUUAUGGACUUAAACUACACAUGUACUAAAUAUUGAGGAUCAUGAUUGUUUUUGUUAAAACUAUAAGGACUAAAACUGCAUAUGGACUAAACAUUAAGAAUUAAAACUACAUUUUCUAUUUAUGCCUACAAAGAAUGAAAAGUGGCAUUCAGCAAAUGCAACUUUUUAAUAAUUAGGAUUGGUUCAAUGGUUAAGAAAGGACUCUUAAAAUUUUCCUCGCUGUCAAAUUUAGGAUUUGAAUCCUGUGCCGAAUAAUUUAGAGUAGGAAGUGUGUGGGAAUGAGUGGAAGGAUUAAAAGAAAGGGCAAGCAUUCAGAUCUUUUCAGAUUAAAGGGCUCCAGCAUUUACUCGAUAAAGAUGAAGGCCCCAGCAACAAAGAAUGAUUAAGAAAACUCAGGUGAAAAUGCCAAUCAACUUCCAAUGCAGAAGCAUCCAAUUCCAAGGUCGCCGACAAAGCAUUGCAAUUCUACACGACCGGAGGACUCUCAUUUGGUCACAUCAUGAAAUUUUUUUUUUCUCCUUGUGAAUAGAACAUAAUACCAGAAGUUGAGAUGGAGCCUAGAUUUGCUAAGAUAUAUGCAAUAUGAAAUAUCUCCUUCAUUGUGGUAAUUGUACACCUUCAAUGCAAUGACUGUACAAUUUAAACACGAGUUUGUGUUGUAAUGAAUAUGCCAAAAAAAAAAAAAGUUACGUUAUGGUUAAAAAUUUUUGCCAUAAAUUGUCUCAAGCAAUUACGCCCAAUAAUUGUUAAGGCACUUUUUUUAUCUAUUCAAUGAGAUUGACAGAAAUGCACCGUUUAAGAUAUUCUCUGUCAAAAUUCAUUGGCCAAACAUUUUAGCAAAAACAAGAAAUUUGGAUGUCUUGAGGCUGUUUUUUUUUUUUUUUAUAACAUUGAAGCAAAUGCAUCAUUGUUAUUCUUUGCCAAAUUUCGUCCAUCAAUUUUUUUUUUCUCUAUUAAAAGAUAGUGUGACAAUGGCACAUCAAUCUCCCCUCAAAGUGAACCCCAUAUCCUUGGUGGUGUAAAACAAGUGGUUGAACUUUAGGGAUUAUUUGGCAAGCAAGUUUUUGGUCCAAUUUGUCUAUUAUAAAUUUUUUUAACAACUUUAGCUACAGUAAUCUCAAAAAAUUUUUCAAAAUUUUUAAACUAUACACUUCAAAAUAUCCAAAAAUUUACACACUUUAAAAAUUUUUUCUACAACUUCUACAAUAAGUUACAGUAAAGUUUUAGACAAAUACCUAAAAAACUUUACUUGACAAAUGGGUCUUAAUUUUCAAAACCAAUACAACAUGAACCACACAAGUACACUGUGUACUUUUACUAUUGACAUGAGUAUCAAGGUUGGUUAUUGUAACAUCUGAUAUAUGUAUAUAUGUGUGUGUAUAUAUAAAGUUGCAUUUAAUAAAACUGAUGUUUGAAAACUGAAAACUGCAAUUUGAAAUUUGAAAUCUAAAGUUUGAAUCUAUUAAAUAAAACACGUUUAAGUGUAUAUCACAUUCAGUGAUAAGUGAAUAACUUAUCACUUAUUUUUGGGAGCAAGUUUUGCUAGGAAAUUUAGCACCAUUUAAAUAAUUCAGAUAUUCAAUUUUUGAUUAUCAAACGCGUUUGAAUAUAUUAAAAUCUAAAUUCAUUAAAUUUAAGUGCAAAAUUGGAUUAUUAAACAAGGCUUAAGUAUGUGUGUGUAAUGCUACAUAAACGAGGAAACUUUUGAUCAAGUGAUUAAUGUUGAAAAGUCAAAAAUUAGAGAUUCAAGGUUCAAUUCUCCUCUUUGCUCGCUCCACUUCUUAAAUCUCCUUUUUCCUAACUACAAUUCUUAAAUCCUAGAAAGCCUUUCUUUGGUGGUUAAUGUUGAAACUUAUUAAAUCUUCUCUUCCCUUACCUUACCCCACUUGUUAAAUCCUAUGAAGUUUUGGCAUAGUAGUUAAGUUUGAUAAAUAAUUUAGGGAAAAUUGCAGAAACCUCCCCUAAAAUUUUUGACGAUAGCACUCAUCUUCCCUCUGGUUUAAGAAAUUGCAUUGACCACCCUUGAAAUUAAGGAAUCUAUUGCAUAUUCGGUCCAACCUAGAAAGAGUCCCAUUAAAAAUUGUUUCACUAAGUUGGAAUUAUUUUGCUAAACUAGCUGGAUUCGGCCAUUAUUGUAGAAGCAGAUGAAACGUUACUGGCUCACUCUUGUUUCGACUUUUGCAAGAGCAUAUAGCUUUGAUUGUUACGUUCUUUUGACAUGGACAAUUUCUGCAAAUUCCAUUGCCUUUUGCUGCCAUUGUUUUCCUCUUUUGCUGUUUAUGCUCUGUGCUUCUACCCUUUAUCUUUGGUUCAUCUAGUAAUUUUUUAAAACACUCUUCUUUCCAUCACUAAUUGCGCGCAGAGUUUUUUGCUCAUUGUCAAAAACUUUAGUGAAAUGUCAAUAUCAACAUUGUAAACAGAGUGCCUCGUAGGCUAUCUUGGAACAUAUAAGUAGCAGUAGUUUCUGAACUGAGUGGAAAAUUGCUCCCUUAAAGAGUGAAAAGUCUAAACAAGAAUCAAUAAGAUUCUGAAACCUAGAGUGCACUCAAAGGGACAAGGUGUAAAACCCAAACAACACAGCAUAUGUUUAAAUUUGAUAAUCUCUCUAUCUAUCCAUCUAUUAUAUCUAUAUCUGUAUCUAUAUCUAUCUAUCUAUCUAUAUCUAUACUCUAUAUAAAAGUAUAUUGAAGAUUAUAUUAGGUAUAUGUCUAUCUGGGUACCUUUGGUUACUCUCUGUACCCGUUUUCCUCGGUAAUAUCUUUAGGAGUAGUUGAGGUAUGUUAGACCUCUGUCAUUGAGGUGUGAUAGAACUCUGUUUUUCAAUUGGGAUGUAAUAGGACUCUGGUCUCGGUACCUGUAUAUAUGGAAGGCACGGAAGCAAUAGAAAGGGAACUUUUCCCUCACAGAAUUUCUUUCAUGGUAUCAGAGCUAUGGAUGACGAAGGGAAAAGCAAGAAUGUUGGGAAGAAAUCUGUUUCACCAUACAUCUUGACUUCGAAUGACAAUCCUGGAACCAUUAUUACCCAGGUACAAUUGAAAGGUGACAAUUAUGAUGAAUGGGCUCGAGCUGUGCGCACAGCGUUGAGAGCCAAGAAGAAGAUGGGAUUUGUUGAUGGAACGGUGACGCAUCCGGAUGACGAUUCCGUCGAUCUAGAGGAUUGGUGGACCGUGAAUUCGAUGGUAGUGUCAUGGAUUCUCAACACGAUAGAGCCAGCUUUGCGUUCCACCAUAACUCAUGUGGAAAUUGCAAAGGACCUUUGGGAAGACAUCCAAGAAAGGUUCUCUGUCGCUAACGGGCCUCGGGUACAACAAAUCAAAGGAGAGAUUGCAGAAUGGAAACAACGGGGACUUCCAAUUGUGACCUACUAUGGGAAAUUGAAGCAAUUGUGGGAGGAACUAGCAAACUAUGAACAAAUUCCGACAUGCCAAUGUGGAAGGUGCGUAUGCAAUCUUUCAGUCCAACUUGACAAGAAACGUGAGGAAGAGAAACUUCAUCAGUUCUUGUUGGGUUUGGAUGACAUGGCAUAUGGAACAAUUCGUUCAAACAUUCUUGGUACAGAACCACUACCCAGUGUGGGUAAGGCAUACUCCUUGAUAUGCCAAGAGGAGCGCGUCCGAAGCAUGUCUAGAGGAAAGGAGGGACGUGGAGAUCCCGUGAGUUUUGCCGUUCAGGCCAACGCAGGAGGUAGGAAACUUGGGACUGAAAUAAAGGACAGGUCUGCGCUGUGUUCAUAUUGCAAUCGCAGCGGGCAUGAUGCUGGAAACUGUUUUCAGCUUAUUGGAUAUCCUGAAUGGUGGGGUGAUCGGCCCAAAGGAAAUGGACGCGGUUCAGGACGUGGACGCGGAAACCAGAAUUCAGGACGUGGACGUGGGGGUGCACAUCGGGCUAACUCUGUUCAGACGAUUGGUCAGUCCUCCUCGUCAACAGUAACCGCAGAAAGGGAGCAUACAGCACAAGGAUUGUUGAAUGGUGAACAGUGGGCAGCUUUCCUGAGUCUGCUGAAUUCUUGCAAGCCUGGUGCCAAUGAAAAGCUAUCGGGUAAGCAUUAUUUGAACUGGAUAAUUGACUCGGGUGCGUCUCACCAUAUGACUGGACGCUUAGAAUGUCUAUCUGAAUUGAAGAAUUUGACGGGGUGUGCAGUAGGAUUGCCUGAUGGCAACCAAACCAUAGCAGUGAAAGAAGGGUCAGCUCGUUUGGGGAAACAUAUGAAGUCGAAGAAAGUGCUAUAUGUCCCCAAUUUGAACUGCAAUUUAAUUUCAGUAUCACAAUUGCUUGACGAAUUAAAUUGCAAUGUUUUAUUUACUAAAAAAUUAUGUGUUAUACAGGACCGCACUUCGAGGAUGGUGAUUGGAGCGGGUGAACGACGCGAAGGGCUUUACUACCUCAAGUCCAUGGGAGAAAUCAAAGCGUGCAAUACCAAAUGUCUGGAUAUCAGUGGGCUAUGGCAUAGAAGAAUGGGACACCCAUCUGCAAAAAUAGUAGGAUUACUUCCUGAUGUGAGUUCUAGCAGUAACAAUUAUGAUAAGGGAAAACCUUGUGACAUUUGUUUAAGAGCCAAGCAGACUAGAGAAGUAUUUUUUCCUAGUGAUAAUAAAGCAAAUGCAAUUUUUGAGAUGAUACAUUGUGACAUAUGGGGACCCUAUCGAACUACUGCUUCGUGUGGUGCCUCAUAUUUUUUAACUAUUGUGGAUGAUUUUUCAAGAGCUGUGUGGAUAUAUAUGUUGGUUGUUAAGUCCGAAGUAGAACGUGUGCUUCGUAAUUUCUUUGCCAUGGUCAAACGACAAUAUAACAAGAAUGUGAAAAUUGUUAGAAGUGACAAUGGCAUGGAAUUCACUUGCUUGGAUGGUUACUUUGCUGAAAAUGGAAUGAUACACCAUACAUCAUGCGUAAGAACACCCCAGCAGAAUGGGCGGGUUGAAAGAAAACAUCGCCAUAUUUUGAACGUGGCUAGGGCAUUACGUUUUCAGGCGAAUCUCCCUAUUGAAUUUUGGGGAGAAUGUGUGCUGACUGCUGGAUACUUGAUUAAUCGGACUCCAUCCAAACUUUUGGGGAAUAAGACGCCGUAUGAAUGUUUGUUUGGAGAGCCACCCAGUUACAAACAUAUUCGUGUAUUCGGAUGUUUGUGUUAUGCUAGGGAUAUGAAUAGAGAAAGAGAUAAGUUUGCCACUAGGAGUCGGCGUUGUUUAUUUGUGGGGUAUCCCUUUGGUAAGAAGGGAUGGCGGUUGUAUGACCUUGAAAAUGGUGACUAUUUUGUAUCACGAGAUGUGGUGUUUUCAGAAGAUGAGUUUCCGUAUGCGAAAGUAAGUGCACCUAAUACGACUAAAGAUGUCCUGGGGACAAGUUCACUUGAGCCAUUCGACCUUGUGGAAGACGAAGUGGAUGAUGCAAGGGAAGAUGAUCUGCUUACAGAGGUUGCGAGUAUACUACCGGAGAUCACGGAUCGGGUUCACAAUGAUGAGAAUAACGAAGACAGGGGGGGCACCACAGGUGCAGAAGCUGGAUUGGUUGCUGAGCAACUUGGGCGUGGUCAACGAAUAAAGCACCCAUCUAGUCGCUUAAAUGAUUAUGUGACGUACACAGCUCAAUGCAUAAGCCCUUCAGCGUGUUCACCCAAACCAAUCUCAUCCUCAGGUACUCCUUAUCCUAUAGCGCAUUAUGUAACAUGUGAUAAUUUUUCUGUGCAUCAUCGGUCUUUCUUGGCAGCUGUGACAACCGGUAGGGAGCCAAAAUUUUAUAGUGAGGCAGUGAAGGACUCUCGGUGGCGCCAGGCCAUGAAGAAUGAAAUCGAUGCACUUGAGACUAAUGGAACAUGGACGGUGGAAGAUCUACCACCGGGAAAGAAAGCCAUAGGCAGCAAAUGGGUAUACAAAAUCAAGUAUAACUCAGAUGGAACUGUCGAGCGGUAUAAGGCGCGUCUGGUGAUUCUUGGCAAUAAUCAGGUUGAGGGAAUUGACUAUCAUGAAACAUUCUCUCCUGUUGUGAAAAUGGUGACUAUACGCACGUUCUUGGCUGUGGCGGCAGCAAAGGAAUGGGAACUUCACCAGAUGGAUGUUCACAAUGCAUUCUUGCAUGGUGAUUUGAAAGAGGAAGUGUACAUGAAGAUGCCUCCGGGUUUUACAACUCCACAAUUUGGAAAGGUGUGUAGACUACGAAAGUCUCUUUAUGGAUUGCGACAGGCUCCACGUUGUUGGUUUGCUAAACUCACAAAUGCCUUACGGCAGUACGGUUUUUCUCAAUCUCAUUCUGAUUAUUCAUUGUUUACUCUGAGUCAGAAUACCAUUCAAAUGAGUAUACUUGUAUAUGUUGAUGACCUUGUAAUUGGGGGCAAUAAUAGUGCUGCAAUUCAACAAUUCAAGGAAUAUUUGUGUCAAUGCUUCCAUAUGAAAGACUUAGGAAUAUUAAAAUAUUUCUUAGGAUUGGAAGUUGCUAGAAAUAAGGCUGGAAUUUUUCUCUGUCAACGAAAGUAUGCACUGGAUAUUAUUGCUGAUGCCGGGUUAUUGGGUGCUCGGCCAACAGGAAUUCCGAUGGAGCAACAUCAUCGGUUGGCAAUGGCAGACAGCAUGCCUUUGGUAGAGCCAGAAAAGUAUAGGCGGUUAGUAGGCCGGUUAAUUUAUUUGACACUAACACGCCCUGAGCUGUCUUAUGGUGUCCAUGUUCUAGCUCAGUUUAUGCAGAAACCCAAAGAGGAGCAUUGGGAGGCAGCCUUGCGGAUGGUUCGCUAUUUGAAGGGCAGCCCUGGUCAAGGCAUACUCCUUCGAUCGGACUGCAAUUUGCAACUGCAAGCAUAUUGUGAUUCGGACUGGGCAAGCUGUCCUCUGACACGUCGCUCUCUCACUGGAUACCUUGUUUUUUUGGGCAACUCUCCUAUAUCUUGGAAAACUAAGAAGCAACAUACAGUGUCCAGGUCAUCUGCUGAAGCAGAGUAUCGCUCUAUGGCUGUGACCAUCUGUGAGCUGCGAUGGUUGAAGGGUCUGCUAGCUUCCCUUGGGGUGUUACAUUCUGGUCUUAUGCAUCUUUACUGUGAUAGUCAAGCAGCCAUGCAUAUAGCGGCUAAUCCUGUGUUUCAUGAGCGAACAAAACAUAUCGAGGUGGAUUGCCAUUUUGUGCGUGAUGAAGUUCAGAGUGGAAAUGUUACUACCACUUAUGUGCGUAGUUCUGAGCAGUUAGCCGAUAUUUUUACCAAGGCGCUUGGGCGACAACAAUUCGAGUAUCUUCUUCGCAAGUUGGGCGUUUGUGAUCUGCACGCACCAACUUGAGGGGGGUAUUGAAGAUUAUAUUAGGUAUAUGUCUAUCUGGGUACCUUUGGUUACUCUCUGUACCCGUUUUCCUCGGUAAUAUCUUUAGGAGUAGUUGAGGUAUGUUAGACCUCUGUCAUUGAGGUGUGAUAGAACUCUGUUUUUCAAUUGGGAUGUAAUAGGACUCUGGUCUCGGUACCUGUAUAUAUGGAAGGCACGGAAGCAAUAGAAAGGGAACUUUUCCCUCACAGAAUUUCUUUCAAAGUACAAUGCGUCUUGGUAUUUUGGAGUGUGGGUGCAAGCAUUGUCAUCAUCUUAUUUUGUGUUAUUUGAAUUAUGCCCUUCUUAAUUUGUGGUAAAAGUUUCAUAUAAUCUUCAGUAUGGGUCAAAGUUUCAUUACGAAUUUCUAAUGAUCAAAAUUCAUUGUAUCAUAUGUAUUGGUUUAGAAGAAAAUAAUUGUUAAUUAUUAUGGUCACUAUAUUGCAUCACGCCAUAUUGAUUCAGAUUGAUUUAGAAAGAAAAAUCUCCUUAAAGUUAUAAAUAUUGAAAUGAUUUGCAAAAUAUUAGUCAAAUGAAUUAUAUGAGUUGUACACAUCCAAUUCAAAAGGGGAAGAACUUUUUCUGUUGCACACAAUGGACUUUCAAUAUACAAAAAAUUAAGACACCUUCAUAUAACUGAAAUAACAAUAUUAAAUUGAAAAAAAAAAGAAAUCUGAAAUAGUCCAUACAAUCCAUCAUUAUUAGUAAUAUCAACCCUUCAACUAUUCAUAAAGUGAAUAGAAAUGAAUCAAAAAGCUGAAAAUGCAAUUCAAAUAAUACCAAAAACAACUUCCAAAUCACUCAAAUUCUAAUUCAGGCCACUCAAAUGCAAGGGAAGACAAAAAUUUGUUAUUGGUAGCCAUGAAGUAGUGCUUCGUUUGUAUUGUUUCGAGCAAAUCAAGUUAAUCCAGCAAGCCAUGUAGAAGCUAUCUCCAAUGGGCGAGUUAAAGGAGAAGAAGCAAAGGUUAGCAUGUAUUAUACUCUAAUUUGUUAACCACCUAUCCUUUCUAGUGUCUAGAAACCAAUAAUUGCACUCGAAGAAAAGGUAGAUCUGUAGUGUUGGUUGGUCUAAUAUUUUUAGCUCUUUGUGGCUAUAUAAAUAGUAUUCAAAUACACUGGAAAAUUGAAAAUUCAAAAGGACCCAAAUCAAAAUACUAAUUACUAAACACACAAAAAGCACUCUUUUGACUGUUUAAAACUUGAGUUUCUAGACUACCAAGUGCUUAAAAACUUUGACAAUUUCCCAAUUAGCACGAAGCAUACCGAGUAAGUUGCUUUUCUUUCUCUUCAAAUUAAUUUUUGGGUUAAUUACAUUUACCUCCCCUGAGGUUUGACCAUAUUACCAAUCAAUCCCUGUAAUUUGUUCAUAUAACGGUCUCACCCUUUGAAUGAUCAAACAUUUAACAAAAACCCCCUUAAUGCCGAAAAUGCCCUUUUUGAGGCCAUAUUGCAUUAAAAAAGGAAAAUAUUUUUAUUUAUUAACAUUCAAGUAAUCCAAAAAAAAUAGAAAAACGUUUUUGCUGAUUAUUUUAUAAAAAUCAUAUCUUUGCUUCCAUAAAUAGUUUUGAAUCAAUAAUUACUUUAAAUCUUAAAAAUGAAUAUUAAAAAUUAGAUAAAUUGAAAGAAAAAUAAAAAAGAAGCAAUUAUUUUAAAUCCUCAAGUAUGGUUCGAAUUUGUGGUUCAAGACAUGUUGUGGAGAGCACAAGGCAUGUUUUCCUCAAUUUGAACCAUACUCCAGGAAUUAAAAUAAUUUCUUCUUUUUUUAUUUUUCUUUCAAUUUAUCUAAUUUUUAAUAUUCAUUUUUAAGAUUUCAAAUAAUUAUUGAUUCAAAACUAUUUAUGGAAGCAAAGAUAUGGUUUUUAUAAAAUAAUAAGCAAAAACUUUUUUCUAUUUUUUUGGAUUGCUUUAGGGUUAAUAAAAUAAAAAUAUGUUCUUUUUUAAUGCAACAUGGCCUCAAUAAGGGCAUUUUCGGUAUUAAGGGGGUUUUUGUUAAAUAUUUGAUCAUUCAAAGGGUGAGACCGUUAUUUGGACAAAUUAUAGGGACUGUUUGGUAAUAUGGUCAAACCUCAGGGGAGGUAAAUGUAAUUAACCCUUAAUUUUUUUAAAAUUUUCUACUCUAUUCCAGCAAACUUAUCUUAGUCUACCAAGUCUAGUGAUUUUGUUUCUCAAUUAGUCUAAUGUAACCAAGAAGUUGCUUGAUGAAAUGAUAAUGACUUGAUCCCUUCACACACUUUUUUUUUCCUAAUCCCUUCUCAUUUUUCUGUUACUUGCCCUAAUAAUUUGCGUAAUAAAGAUUUUUUAUAUUUUAAACGAUAAGUUAACAAUAAGAAAAAAAAGGGCAUAUUAAGAAGAUGCAUCUUCAGGAACUAGCCACCAGGCAUCCAAUUAAUUGACCUACAGAGAUGAACAAGCAUAAAUUGAUUAAUUACACUUUUACAUGUUUUCCAGACCAGGCAACAUCUAAAACAUGUGUGCCUUUCAUUUCUUUAUUUCUUAAUUACACGAGAAGAUGCUUCAAGCAAAGAAGAAGCAAUAUUUAUUUAUUUUUGAAUGGCAAACGGGCUCCAGCAUUAAUCCAAGAAAGUUAAGAGUGAAAAUUUUGAAAAAAAAAACAAAUAAAAAUGCUAAACACAUGAAAAUCACUCUGAUGACUAUUUGGAAUUUUUGCUUUUUGAAACUACCAAGCAGGCAAGCACUGAAAACAUUGACAAUUUCCCAUUUGCCCGAACAAGAUUCAGUAUUUUCUUUUCUUUCUCUUUAAAUUAAUUUUGUUAACUUUUUCUUCUCCAUUCCAACGAUAUCAUCUUACACCAUUAGACUUGUUGAACCGAAUUUUAUGAUUCUGAUACUAUCAACAUGCAGGGUUGUAGGAUUGAACGGAUCAAGUAAUCACUCAAUAUACAUAUACAUAUAUAUAUAUAUAUAUAUAUAUAUAUAUAUAUAUAUAUAUAUAUAUAUAUAUGAGUGUGUGUGUGUGUUUGUGGGAGAUAAUAAACAAAUAAAUAGAGUAAUCUUAUUGCAAAUAUAUUAGCAAGUUGAUUAAUUAAAUUAACAUAGAUAGAUAAAAUAGGGCAAUCUAAUUAGUUAAACUUCUAUUUAUUUUAUUGAUCGAUACCUAAAACAGUUCAGACCUAAUACACACUAUAUAGUUGACAGGGGUUAAACCUGUACAAUAAUAAAUACCUACUCGAGAAAAAUACAGAUUUUGUAUAUAGCGGUGAGUAGGGUUGAAUCCACAGGGAUUGGGGAUAAUUCGUUUCUUCUAGAGUCCAAAGUAUGGGGGGUUUUAGAUUAAAUACUAACUAAAUAAAUAAAUUUGCAGAGAAUAACUGAUUAAGAGAAAUAAUUAAGGGAAAACUCUAGCGAAGAGUACACUUCAGAAAUUGUUCAUGCACUGAUCAUUGAUGCAGAAAUAAUUCCAACAUUUAGUAAUAGAUUAGUUAUAGUUGUCAUGCACGCGAUAAAUAACCAACCCUUCCUUAAUUUCUCGGUAGCUAAGGUACGACCGUUAACUAUUUCUCUAACCCAAAAACAACCCUAGGUACGACCGUAGGAUUUAAUUUCUAGAUUGCAUUAAUAAUUAAAAAGGCCCAAUCCUAACCAACAAACACGCUACGAGGGUUUGUUUAAACUAGAUCGUAUACUCCCCUGACAUAAAUCCAAUUACGCCAGUUGCUACUGAGGUAGACAUAACGAACAAUUACGGAUUCAAUUACCCCUAUUUAGCAAAAAUAGCCUAUAUGAAUAAUUAAUUAUUGCGCACUAAUCAAUCAUACACAAGGCCAUAGCAAUUAAAAUCAGGGAACAUAUAAAUACCAAUAAAUGAAGAAAAUAAUUAAAACAGAUUCGAUCUCACAGUAAUUGUCGAAUCAAAUCGUCAGUUGUCCCCUUGACUAGAAAAAUUUAGCCACGCCUCAUGAGAAAAUCUUCCCGUUGGAGAAUAUUGUCGAAUACCUGACGUGUGUCAGAGGCCAGUCAAAAGAAAGAAAACUAGAACUAAACUAAAAAACUAAAACUAAAGCCGUCCGUCUGUACGUUUUUCUUUUCUACUUAAAAGCCAAAAGAAAGAACCUAAUCUUCUCUCCAGUGGUCCCCACCCAAUUGGUAGUCAAAGCUGCCCAAAGAGAAACCUGCCGAUUUGCUCAAGUCUCUGUACGUUACUUUUCUUUCUUUAGCCAAAUGACUAGUGCUCCUUGUUCUGUGGGCCCCCACCGAAUUGAGAAAAUUAGUUGUUGUUCCUUUCUUGUGGGCUGCGUUGAAGUAAUAUGCUCUAGAAAGCCCCUCCUUUUGGUAGUUUUCUGCUUCCCUCCUGAAAUUGAUUCCAAAUACCAAAUAUAAGUAAAUAUUAGCAAUUAACACAAUAUUUGUCAGGGAUAGAAGGGGAAAUUAAUAAUAAAAUUACUAACAAAUUAUACCCUAUCAAUUCCCCCCACACCUGAAUCAUGCUUGCCCUCAAGCAUGGGGACAACUCAACUAAAAAAUGGCUAGCUUUCACAUUAUCGUCGCCAGCUGUGCUUAUACCAAAAUCAAGAUUUAGUGGCUAAGUGUCAAGUCAUAUCUCUCCCGGUUAGCUCCUAUGUUCAUAGACCCGUCCAAUUCAUGGCUAACUCACCUAAGAAAUCCAAAUAUUAACUAGCAACAGUCGGCAAUUAAGUCAACUGGCAACCCAAAAUCUCAACAUUACGAACCAAGGAUCGGCAGGCCAACAUGAUUAUAAACUCAUAUAUUUUCCACAUCUGAUUUUUUUCCCUUUCACUUCUUUUUUUUUUCUUUGGAUUUUUUUUUUUACACGAAUAAUGCUUAGUCCCAAGUUAUUCAAGUCUUUUGACGUGAACUCUGACAUUUUUAGAUGAAAGAGCCCAAUUACCCAACUUUUCACAGCUCCAGGACCACUUACUCAUAGAUAUCGCCACUUUUUGACGCGAGAGCCGACACGUGUGGUGAAGACUCCUGGUUACUGGGUGGCGACACUAGCGGAGUAUAGCCAUACGUUAUUCACCAUAACACACCAAAAUACCAAGUAAUUAAAGAUCAUAGCCUGCGUCAUGUCCUAAAUAUGGAGAACUAAAGUCAACAUAAGACCAAUCCACACAACAAUGCCAGCAAAAUAUUUACAUUGCCUAAACAAGUUAGCCAUAAAUCGCACCAAGUCGUUAAACUCAAAACAUUCACCAAGACAGCAUGCUCUUACUUGCCACCGAAACUCAACUCAUAGUAUAAACUACAACUAACAAUAAAAAAGUGAGCUGCCGACAUAUUCACCAAAAUAAAAGCAAAGGAAAAAUUACCUAAAAAGAACAAAGGAACAACACCUAAACCGAAAACAAUGGGAAAACACCCAAGAACCGAAAACUAGAAAUACGAGCACCCAAAACUGACCCCCUCACACCUAAAUCACACAUUGCCCUCAAUGUGAUAAUGUAAUAGCAAAAAAGAAGAAGAGGGGCAACAGUACUUCCCUGAAGUCGUCAAAACAGGGGUGGAUCGGGCGCGAACGGAGGGGCAAUUCCCGCAUGUUGCAUAAAAGCCGCCAGACCUAGACCCCAACAAGACAGCAAAUGCAAUGGAGAAUUAUCGGAGGCUUCAAAUGAGUUCAAUGCAGAAACAAAACAGUUGAAAAGUGCAACAACUGCUCCAAAUACCCCACGCAAGUCAAUAAGAUACAACCGAUCAGCAAUAAGCAAAAGAAGGGGCACAGUAGCCUUCCAAUUCAACCAACAGGUACAGAGAAAUACCCAGCCAACAACACGGACAAUUCAACCACCCACAGACUAGGGAACUAUCCCAACGUACAGUAAUGCCAAACAAAAAGCAUAUGUGGAUCCAAUUCAGGCAAAAACAUGAGUAAUGCAACCCAACAAUUUCACUAAAUAUGCCCAACCUAAAUAAGCAAGGCCACUGACGCACUAGCCCUUAACACUAGUAACAAUUGCAAUCAAUGAGCGCCCGUGUUCCAAACGUAAUCAAAUUGAGAAUCAAGGUAGUCCAAAAAGGAUUAAAUGCUCCUAAAUAAGGCGAUUAGAGGCAACCAACUUCAAUGCACAAAUUUAAGCGUUACAGGCACUGCCCAAUAUAACACACAAAGUACCUAUAAUUAGACACAAAUUAUAGCAAAUUAGACACAAUGGAACCCAAAAUCGUAACAACUGCCUCCAAGUGGACAAUUAAUUACCUAAAUCAAUUUGCCAAAAUCAGCAAUUGACCCACGAAUCACAGGGUAGACAGGCACGACUCAACCACAAAUGCCCAAUAGUCACAACCCGCUUAAUUAGGCAAUCCAGAACACAGGAUUAUCAGAUGUGAAACAACUACCAUCACCAGUACCACUGGUGAGUGUAUAGGGAGAAAUUAAAGCAAAUAACCAACCCAGUGAACAAAAUAGAUUCGAACACCCAAGCAGCGCCAAAAAUGAGCAGAAAUUAAAACCAGAAGCAAUUGGCAACUUACUCCCAAAGUACCCCCAAAUAUCGCAGCAGUUUAACUCAAUUAUACCCAAAAUUAACCCCAGAAAAUGCCCAAAAUCACUGCCUGCUAUUUUCCAACAAGAAGCCCAAGCAAAGGUACAAAAUUUCGGCAAUAUAAGAUUCAGAAUAAGACAAAUUGAGGCAGGAAUCGCAAUACCUCCACCUGCCAAAAAAUUGACAGGUGGUAACGCGCUGGGGUGGAGCUGGCGGAGACAAGACAAGGACGUGGAGUGGCGGUGGUGGUGCGGCGUGAGCUGGACGAGCUGCGCGGGGGAAGGAGGCGGCGGCUCUGGUUGCGGAUGACGCUGGAGGCGGGCGAGGGAGGAGCGGCGCGGCGUGCUGGUGGCGGGGCUGGUGGCGGUGGCUGUGGAACGUGGGCAGGCGGCGGUGCGCAACUGGUCAGCGAAGGAGGAGAUGCGCGGCGCUCGAGCUGAGGAGAAAGUGAUUUGGGGGCUGUGGCGGCGUGGGGUGGAGUUUGGAACGGAGGAGCUCAGCGAGCUAUGGGUGGACGGCCGUGGGCAGGGGAGCAGUGGCGGCCUUUGGAGCUGCUGACGGUGGAGACGAGCUGGCAGUGCGGCGUGCUGGGGUCGUGACGUACGGAAGAGACGGGAGAACUGGAGCUUGGAGGUGGUGGCGAUGGACGCGAGCUGGGGUGGUCCGCGAUGGGAAAGCCAAGGGAGGUGCGGAAGAAGAAAAAAAAAAAAAAAGAAGAGAGGAAGAAAGAAAGAAAAGAAAGAAAGAAAGAAAGAAAAGAAGGAAAAAGAAGAAAAGAGAAAAGGGAAAUGUUUUUUUUUUUUCAAAAUUACUCCAACGUAAAUUGUCCAAAUUGGAAAUUACUUUUAAAAAAAAUUUAUUAUUAUUAUUAAUUUUUUUUGGUAAUAAUAAAAUUUUUAAAUUUUUUUUUUAAAUUCAUUUUUGGGUCGUCAAACACCGCGUGGGCAUACCAAGAUUGUAAAACGUCCACUAACCAUGAGACUUGAAUUUAGACGCUUAACGCGUGCCCUCCUCGCGUGGGCACGCCAAGAUUACCUAUUCUGGUCAUAAUGAGGAAACAUCAAGAGUGAUUAGUACCCAAGUGAGAAACGACAUAUUUAAGAAAUUGAACACAAAAAUAACAAAAUCAACAAUUGGGUUGCCUCCCAAAAAGCGCCUUUCUUUAAUGUCUUUGGCUAGACAUGCUAUGCUUGUUCACGGAGGAUAAAAUCUUGUGGCUCGUUUCAAUGCUUCAUCUUCAAUAUGAUCCUGGUAAUCCUCAUAGAUGGAAUAAUCUUUGAGCACACGAGCUACGAUCUUCCGUGAACUAGUAGAUGGCUCCAAACCGGUCAACAAUAAUCUCGAUUCUUCACUCACUCCUCCACCACGCGCAUUUAUCGGUUCAAGAUAUUUCGUCAUCUCCACUCUCAACUUAUUUCUGCCACGAGACUAAAAAACUUCCGGUAUAACAAAAUCAAUCUCAUUAACAGAAAUCAUAGAGUAAGAGUUAGGAAAAUGCGGGUUAGGGAAUGGAGGUGGUGUCACUACAUUUGAUGAUUAUUCACUGGAUUCUUUCACUUCAAUGGGUUAAGGUUGGGGUUCCAUAUCUUCAUUUUCGGCUUCUUUUUCAACUGCAUCUGCAGAUCUCUCAUUUUGACACUCUUGCAUCUCCUCAUCACUAGUCAAGCAAAUUGCACUCUCAUUUUUUUCAAAAUCAACAAUGGUUUCCGAGGGCAAUUCUUCAAUUUGAGAAGCCAAUCGAUUUAUUCUGGAUGUCAAUAGACACAUUUGAUCUUCCAGAUUACUCAUUGCAUCCUUCAUCAUCCCAUUUCUCAUUUGUGUCUCCUGUUGGAAUUGAUAUGUAUUAGUAGCUAUUGAUUCAACUAUUUCUUCAAGAGACAUACCUGACAUAGAUGAUGAUUCUUGAGACUCAUACUGCUGAAAAUUUAUUGGCCCUGUUGUAUAAUUAUAACUGGAGUUAUCCCACCAUCCUUGAUCAUACCCGUUUGGAUUAGAGUUAUACCACGUUUGAGACCAGGGUGAAAUAUCUUCAUAAUUAUUGAGUGGGACACUCAGAUUAUCUUGAUAUUCGGGGUACAUACCGGUUGAAUGAUCCCUGGCAUAACAAAUUUUACAGGUUGCAGCAGCCAUUUUGUCUCUAAUAGAGUUUAGUGCCUUUGAAUAUGCAAACUUAGCAAAAAAACUAGCCUCACUGCCUUCCCUGGAAACAAAAUCCAGUUUAUCACCAAAAUACGGAGUGUUAGAAGCCAUAAACUAUAUAAAAAAAUAAGAGAAAAAUAAAUAAAAAAAAAUAAAAACACGAUGAACUCAAAAAGAAACAAAUUAAUCUGGCACCAGUCCCCGGCAACGGCGCCAAAAAUUGACAGGGGUCGAACCUGUACAACAAUAAAUACCUACUCGAGAAAAAUACAGAUUUUGUAUAUAGCGGUGAGUAGGGUCGAAUCCACAGGGACUGUGGAUAAUUCGUUUCUUCUAGAGUCCAAAGUAUGGGGGGUUUUGGAUUAAAUGCUAACUAAAUAAAUUAAUUGCAGAGAAUAACUGAUUAAGAGAAAUAAUUAAGGGAAAACUCUAGGCAAGGGUACACUUCAGAAAUGGUUCAUGCACUGAUCAUUGAUGCAGAAAUAAUUCCAACAUUUAGUAAUAGAUUAGUUAUAGUUGGCAUGCACGCGAUAAACAACCAACCCUUCCUUAAUUUCUCGAUAGUUAAGGUACGACCGUUAACUAUUUCUCUAAUCCAAAAACAACCCUAGAUACGACCGUAGGAUUUAAUUUCUAGAUUGCAUUAAUAAUUAGAAAGGUCCAAUCCUAACCAACAAACACGCUACGAGGGUUUGUUUAAACUAGAUCGUAUGUUCCCCUGACAUAAACCUAAUUACGCCAGUUGCUACUGAGGUAGAGAUAACGAACAAUUACGGAUUCAAUUACCCCUAUUUAGCAAAAAUAGCCUAUAUGAAUAAUUAAUUAUUGUGCACUAAUCAAUCACACACAAGGCCAUAGCAAUUAAAAUUAGGGAACAUAUAAAUACCAAUAAAUGAAGAAAAUAAUUAAAACAGAUUCGAUCUCACAGUAAUUGUCGAACCAAAUCGUCAGUUGUCCCCUUGACUAGAAAAACUUAGCCAUGCCUCAUAAGAAAAUCUUCCCGUUGAAGAAUAUUAUCGAAUACCUGGCGUGUGUCAGAGGCCAGUCAAAAGAAAGAAAACUAGAACUAAACUAAAAAACUAAAACUAAAGCCGUCUGUCUGUACGUUUUUCUUUUCUACUUAAAAGCCAAAAGAAAGAACCUAAUCUUCUCUCCAGUGGUCCCCACCCAAUUGGUAGUCAAAGCUGCCCAAAGAGAAACCUGCCGAUUUGCUCAAGUCUCUGUACGUUGCUUUUCUUUCUUUAGCCAAAUGACUAGUGCUCCUUGUUCUGUGGGCCCCCACCGAAUUGAGAAAAUUAGUUGUUGUUCCUUUCUUGUGGGCUGCGUUGAAGUAAUAUGCUCUAGAAAGCCCCUCCUUUUGGUAGUUUUCUGCUUCCCUCCUGAAAUUGAUUCCAAAUACCAAAUAUAAGUAAAUAUCAGCAAUUAACACAAUAUUUGUCAGGGAUAGAAGGAGAAAUUAAUAAUAAAAUUACUAACAAAUUAUACCCUAUCAAUUCCCCCCACACCUGAAUCAUGCUUGCCCUCAAGCAUGGGGACAACUCAACUAAAAAAUGGCUAGCUUUCACAUUAUCGUCGCCAGCUGUGCUUAUACCAAAAUCAAGAUUUAGUGGCUAAGUGUCAAGUCAUAUCUCUCCCGGUUAGCUCCUAUGUUCAUAGACCCGUCCAAUUCAUGGCUAACUCACCUAAGAAAUCCAAAUAUUAACUAGCAACAGUCGGCAAUUAAGUCAACUGGCAACCCAAAAUUUCAACAUUACAAACCAAGGAUCGGCAUGCCAACAUGAUCAUAAACUCAUAUAUUUUCCACAUCUGAUUUUUUUUCCUUUCACUUCUUUUUUUUUUCUUUGGAUUUUUUUUUUACACGAAUAAUGCUUAGUCCCAAGCUAUUCAAGUCUUUUGACGUGAACUCUGACAUUUUUAGAUGAAAGAGCCCAGUUACUCAACUUUUCACAGCUCCAGGACCACUUACUCAUAGAUAUCGCCACUUUUUGACGCGAGAGCCGACACGUGUGGUGAAGACUCCCGGUUACUGGGUAGCGACACUAGCGGAGUAUAGCCAUACGUUAUUCACCAUAACACACCAAAAUGACUAGUGCUCCUUGUUCUGUGGGCCCCCACCGAAUUGAGAAAAUUAGUUGUUGUUCCUUUCUUGUGGGCUGCGUUGAAGUAAUAUGCUCUAGAAAGCCCCUCCUUUUGGUAGUUUUCUGCUUCCCUCCUGAAAUUGAUUCCAAAUAUCAAAUAUAAGUAAAUAUCAGCAAUUAACACAAUAUUUGUCAGGGAUAGAAGGGAAAAUUACUAAUAAAAUUACUAACAAAUUAUACCCUAUCAAUAGUACUAGUAAACAGAAUUUCUUAAAUAAAUAAAGGCCACCAACAUCACAUGCCAUUGACCAAAGCUAGUAACAUGGCCUCAUCUUAAUGUAGUACUAGCAAAUGGAAUUUCUUAAAUCACAUGCCAUUGAGCAAACAAGUUUGAUGGCCUCAUCUUAAUGUAGCCUUAAAACUUUCUCUCCUUUAAUAUUACCCCUUGUUUGGUACAUGGAAAUGCACAGAAUAGAAAGGGUUUCGACCAGAAUAUGUAUCCACCAGGAUGGUAGGAAGAAAGUUACUGUUCCAAGGUUUGAUAUACAAGUCAGAGUGGAAUCUUUAUUCAGUUUCUAAUUUUUGGUAUAAUCAAAUUUAGAUGUUAGAAUGAAAUAUACUAAAUACAAAUUCGACUUAAUAUUAGGUUAAAGGGCAUCCUAUAUCUUUUUUUUGUUUUAUUUGUUCUAUAAUAGUAUUUGUCUAUUUAUGUGAAAUUUGAUAUCUUUAUUUAAAAAUAAAUUACGAUUGAUAUCAAAAUUCUUCAAUUGUAGUGAAGAUUCAUUCUAAUAUAUAGAUUUUUACGUUAAAAUUUUAUUUACUACCAAUAUAAUUAGUGGCGUAAAAUAUAAAUUACAUGAAGUUAGACAAUUAUAAUUUAGUUAUUUUCAAUUUUGAUAGGAGAUUUAAAAAAAUUCUUGAACAAUUGUUCAAAAGUCAAAGAAUAAAGUAUCUUAAAACAUUUGUUUCCUAGUAUAAAAGAAAAAUUAAUUAUUAUAAAAAUUACAUUCAAAUAUUAAUUGAGCUAUAAAUAGCUUAAGAUAUGGCGAUGCAUUAGACUUGUGACGAUAAAUUUGACAUCCUACUAUUUAGGCAUUCUAGGAUGAAGGUGAAGAGAGCGUUCCUUAGAUUUUUUUAACGAAUGGAAUUCUAGAAAAAGUUAGAAUGAGCAUUCUAAGAAAAAUUAGCUUUCCCACUUAAAUGAAUUAUACCAAGCACCGGAAUGAAAUGGACAAAUUGGAAAGGCCUUUCUUUCUAGGUGUUUUUGUGAGGUGCAUUUAUGAAGAAGAAGCUAAUGAGCUUCUAAAUCCUAUGUCGGAUCACAAAUACAUGACAAUUUAAUGUGUAAACUAGUGAAGAAGAAUCUUAGCAGUGUCCAUAAUUUUAUUAAGUUUUCUUCUCUGCUAAUCCAACAAGUUAUCUUCAGUCUACUAAAUUUAAUUAAUUCCAUUUCUCAAUUUGUUUCAUAAUUACAUAAGCAAUCAAGAAGUUGGUUGAUGAAACGAAGAAGUCCUCAUCCAUUCUAAAUCUCUUUGUGUCCCUUCUUGAUUGCUUAAGUAGUCAAGAAGAGUUGGCUUAAUUGUUUAAGUAAUCGAGAAGAUUCUUUGCAGUGUGAAUAACAAAUAAACAUUGAGGAAAAAAAGAAAAGAAAAAUGCAAAGUAGGAAGAUGCAUUUUCGAGGAAGUAGCCACCAGGCAUAUUCUAAUACCACCAGCCAGAUUGAAUAAAUGAACUAGGUAGAUAAAGCAGAAUAAAUUGAUUAAUCAGGGUGAGAUUUCAGAUCUGUGUCUCCUGUUGCCAGCCCCUCAAUCAGUUUAGUUAAAGUCAGCUCUUUUGAGUCUGUACACUGUUGCAUUAAUUGCAAUUAUACUAAUCUGAAUCUCACACAUCAACCCACAGGAAUCGUUAACUCAUCUCUCUCCUGUUCUGGGCUUCUAUUCUAUUUCUACCAUUUGUUGUUGAAACAUUCCUUCCAUCUCUGAUAUCAGAAAACCUUUCGAUCCUAGUUCCAAUUCCAAGCAAGAAACAAUAAUGGCUGACGCUGCUAUCAGUGCUACUGUUAAGGUCGUCCUGGAGACGGUCAUUUCCACAGCUGCGGACCGUAUUGGUAUGGUUCUCGGGGUCAAAGCAGAGUUGGAGAGACUGAGCAAAACUACUGCAACGAUCCAAGGUUUCCUGGCUGAUGCUGACGGGAAAAUACAUAGUUCAGGGGUGCGAGAUUGGCUCAAGCAGCUAGAGGAUGAGGUUUUCAAAGCUGAUAACGUGCUGGACGAGCUCCAUUAUGACAAUCUUCGCCGGGAGGUGAAGUACCGAAAUCAACUCACCAAGAAGAAGGUAUGCUUAUUCUUCUCCUUCUUUAAUGCAAUUGGUUUUAGUUCCAGCUUGGCUUCAAAGAUCCGAGACGUCAACACCAACCUAAAAAGGAUCAACCAGCAAGCCAAUGACUUGGGAUUGGUAAUCAAGUACCAAAUUGAAGCUGCACUCCAUGCUGAUGCCACUACAAGCAGACAGACCGACUCUAUUGUUGUUCCAAACGUUGUAGGAAGAGCCGGCGACGAGUCAAAAAUAGUGGAGAUGCUAUUGACCCCAUCUGAAAGAGUUGUCUCAGUUAUUCCCAUAACAGGCAUGGGAGGCCUGGGCAAAACGACUCUUGCUAAAUCAGUCUACAACAAUACAAAAAUUGAUGAGAAUUUUGGCAUAAAGAGUUGGGUUUGUGUGGCUAGAAAAAUAGAUAUAGUGGAGCUGUUCAAACUCAUUUUAGAAUCGUUGACAAGAACAAAGGUUGAAGUGGAUGGUAGGGAUGCCAUAGUUCAAGGAAUUAGAGGAAAACUUGGGGAAAAAAGAUUUCUCCUUGUUCUUGAUGAUGUGUGGAAUUGUGAAGAGAGAUUGUGGGAUGACUUCUUCACCACGUUGUUGGGACUCAGUACAACUAAAGGAAGCUGGUGUAUUCUCACUACUCGUCUAGAACCAGUGGCUAAUGCUGUGCCUAGACAUUUGCAAAUGAAUGAUGGUCCUUAUUCCCUAGGAAAGUUAUCAGACGAUGCGUGCUGGUCUAUGCUGAAGGAAAAGGUAAUUGCUGGAGAAGAAGUACCAAAAGAAUUGGAAGCAAUAAAGAAGCAAAUUUUAAGGAGAUGCGAUGUCCUACCAUUGGCGGCAAGUUUGAUUGGUGGCUUGUUGCUUAACAACAGAAAAGAGAAGUGGCACUGCAUUGUGCAGGAGAGUCUCUUGAAUGAAGAUCAAAGCGAGAUCGAUCAAAUACUUACGGUGAGCUUUGAUCAUUUAUCACCUCCAUCAGUUAAGAAAUGUUUUGCAUAUUGCUCGUUUUUUCCCCAGGACACUGAAUUGGGAGAAGAUUAACUAAUUCAGCACUGGAUUGCAGAAGGUUUUGUUCAACCAGAUCGGCAAAACCAAAGAUUGAUGGAGGAAAUAGCGGGUGAUUAUUUGAGGAUUUUGUUACAAAAUUCCUUAUUGGAAAAAGUAGAAGAGUCGUGGAGAACAUAUUAUAAAAUGCAUGAUCUCGUGCAUGAUUUUGCAAAAUCAGUUCUCAAUCCUAAAAGCAGCAGCCAGGAUCGCUACCUUGCAUUACACUCAUAUGAAGAAAUGGCAGAAAAUGUCAGAUGGAAUAAAGCGGCAUCAAUCCGCUCGUUAUUUCUCCAUUUAGGGGGUGGCAUAUCUGCUGACACGGACAUGUUAUCAGGAUUCAAGCACUUGCAUGUUCUCAAAUUGUCUGGAUAUGAUGUCAUGUUUCUGCCGAGCUCUAUUGGCAAAUUACUACGUCUGCGGUUGCUCGACAUUUCAUCUUCUGGUAUCACAAGUUUGCCGGAAUCUCUUUGCAAGCUAUAUAAUUUGCAGGCACUAACGAUUGAUGGUUAUGCACUUGAAGGAGGUUUUCCAAAACGGAUGAGCGAUUUGAUUAGCUUGCGACAUCUAAACUACUGGCAUGAUGAUGCAAAAUUUAAAAUGCCGGUGCAGAUGGGACGAUUGACUUGUCUUCAAACUCUAGAGUUCUUUAAUGUAAGUCAAGAGAAGGGUUGUGGCAUCGAAGAGCUUGGGACCUUGAAAUAUCUUAGAGGAUCAUUGGAGAUAAGAAAUCUUGGACUAGUAGAGGGCAAAGAAGCAGCUAAACAAGCAAAAUUGUUUGAAAAGCCAAAUCUGUCUAGCUUAAGGUUGGACUUUGAACGGAAAAGUGAUAACUGUGAUGAGGAUGUGUUGGAAGGUCUCCAACCUCACCCAAAUUUGCAAAAGUUGGAAAUUCGAUAUUGCAUGGGUAAUAAAAUUCCCCAAUGGCUUAUCAAUUUGCCAAAAUUGGUGGAGUUGCGGAUAGAAGAUUGCCAGAGAUGCAGUGAACUCCCGUCAUUAGGACAACUGCCAUCCCUCAAACGCCUCUAUUUGAGAAGCUUGGACAACAUCCGAUCUAUUGGAGAUGAAUUCUAUGGUAUUAAUACUAAUGAGGAGGAGGAGGAGGGCAGAUCACGAGCAUCAGGGAGCAGCACUAGAACACGAAAUUCUUUCCGGCCCUUGAAGAACUCUAUGUACGAGAUAUGAGGAAUUUGGUAGAUUGGAAGGAUGCAGACCAAGUGAGGUCAACAACAGGUGAAGUAGAAACAGAUGUCUUUCCCAUGCUGAGGAAUUUUCACAUUCAACAUUGCCCACAACUGACCAAUCUUGCAUGCUCGUGUAAAAUUCUAGUCGUGGAGUAUUACGGCAAUCUAACAAGUAUAAAAAUGGGUUACGACACUGCUUCUGUUGAGGAGUUGAGUAUCCUUUCUUGCGACAAUCUUAGGGAGCUGCCAAGAGAUGUGUUUGGAUCAAGUUUGCAGCUAUUGCGCAUCUCAGAUUGCCCGAGAUUAAUUAGUCUAGGAGUAAAUGGACAGAAAUGCCCCCUUACAUGUCUUGAGCGAUUGAGCAUUGAUUAUUGCUACGGGUUGACCACUAUAUCUGACAAAAUGUUCGAGUCAUGCCCAUCUCUGCGGUUCCUGUCGGUUGGGUAUUGCCGCAAUCUGGUGUCAUUUUCACUUAAUUUGCAGGAGACGCCUUCUCUCGAGGAAUUCAGCUUAUUCGAAUGUCCCAAAUUGAUCCCUCAUAGGUUCAAAGGAUUUGCUUUUGCCACCAGCUUAAGAAAAUUGAGCAUCGGUCCCUUCUCCUCAGAUGACUCCUCAAUGGAUGGUUUUGAUUGGUCUGGCUUGGUAAAUGCAUCAACACUCCGUGAGCUUCAAUUACGAGGCUUGCCUCACUCGGACUCCCUGCCACACCAGCUUCAAUACUUGACUACCCUCCCUUCACUAAGUCUCUUCAACUUUCGAGGAAUAGAGGUGCUACCACAUUGGAUUGGAAACCUUGUGUCCCUUGAAACCCUAAAGCUAUGGUUUUGCGAAAAGCUUCAGUCUUUACCACCCGAGGCUGCCAUGAGACGACUCACAAAGUUAACUCGUGUCGAAGUUUGUGGGUGUCCUCUAUUAAGACAACGAUACACUCCCCAAAGAGGCAUCUACUUGGAGGAGUAGAUUUCAAGUUAUUUUGUAAGAUUUUCCUAUCUAAAGUUCACACUCAUAGAUAUGCAUACAAAUUUUUUGUAUCUGCAUCUCAUUGACAUAUAUUUGCUCUUCAGUCUCUUAUACUCUUUUUUCUCCGUCUCUUCUAUGAAAUUUCACUAGUCGUGUAAAGUUAAUCCCUGUAAUUCUGUUCUUUUUGGGCAGACCUUGGUUUCUCUUCAAAGAUUAGUUUUAACAGAUCCUGGUUUUGAACAAAUUAGAAGAGACCAAAAUUCUAGAUUUCCUCUGCCUCUCUGAAUCACUGAAAGAUUUUGAACAUCUUAAAAACUCCUUGCACUUCAAAUUGUUACAUUCUAUUUGGCCAAGGAUGAAAUUAUUAGCAAUGGUGCAUGCACAAUUAGCCUCUUUGUUUGAAUGUGUUGGAAAAUGUUUCAUUUGAUGCGUAAUGCUACAUGUACAUGGACCCAUUCUUCAUUUUUCUGUCACCUGAUAUUGCCAGUUUGAAUGGACAACAUUAAAGCUAAUCAAGAAACAUUUGCGAAGAAAAUUCAAGAUACAAUUUGCUGUUCAAGAUACAAUAAUUUUGGACAGUUGUUUGUCAUGUUUCACAAGUUUCAGAAGUUUAUUCGUCACAAUUACCAUGCAGGUAAGCAGUGAGAGCGAACAAGAAGAAAUCGAUGACAAUGAGCAAGCAGGCAGAGACUGUGAACAAAAAAGCAUUGAUAGUGCUCAAACAUCAGCUUCAUGGUGUUUCCCAUCGUUGCUGAAGAAGAAGAAGAGCUUAGGAGGUUUGUUGUGCAGAAAAGUGAUAAUGCAGCAUUUCUUUCCCCAAGAACUCUUUUCUUAUGCAGAAAAGUGAUAAUGCGGCAUUUCUUUCUCCAAGAACUCUUUUCUUACCUCCAUCCAAUUUACUAAGAGUACAAGGAAUUGGUGCAAGUUUGCAUUCUAGUAUGCUUGAGUCAUGUAAUUGGCCUACGAACAGGGCAUUUUCCUGUACUGUUAUGUGUUUGUGAACUUUUACCCUAUGCCUACAGCUUAUCUUUUGCUCUUUAAGAUUUUUAUAUUUACUUGGUGCUAAACAUGUCUAUUGAUUGUGAAAGAAUGUGGUCUUUUCCGAUUUUCUUGCACUAGUUACUAGACCAUAACUUUUCUUUGCUUUCAUUGUUCAUUAUAAUUGAAGGCAUACUGAAAUGUACCAUUGUGAUGCUUUCCAGAGUCUUAGGAGACAUAGCUUAUGUUAUUGGACAAAGGACACCAUCGUUUACACACCAAUUGUCACACGAUAUUGCAUAAUAGGAGAAACUUCUUGAAUUCUGGUAGGCUUUAAUUGGUUUAAGUAGGAUGAUGUUUCUUUUAUGUUUGUACUGACCCCUUCUGUUUAGUUUACAUAGAUCUAAUUGGGCUGCUGCUUCUGAUAUGAUCCCAAAAGUACAUACCUUUAGUUUUUUAAGCUGCAGUAUCGGUUUUUCUCAAUGCACUGCCAUCACUAGUUUGUUAUAUUGUUGGUUUCUGGUUGGCAGAUGAGUUUUUAUUGAGUUGAAGUUUCAUUUCUUAGCAUUUAUUAAUUCUAAUUUGAAUUUGCUUUUCAUUUAGGCCAUGUCCUCGCUUAAAGGUAGGGAGAAUACAUUAGAGAAGAUUUGAGGAGGCUAUUGAUUACGUAAAUGAGCAGCAUCCUUCAGAUGAUUCCUCUGUUCCAGCUGUAAGACUGUUUGUUGCUCACUGCCUGCCAGGCUACAAAGACCAGGAAAACAUGGGAUUUCUUGAUAAUGGAAGUAUUUCCCAGUUCAGGAAAAAAGAAAAAUGAUAAAGAUAUUAAGUGAAGGGCAAACUAUUUUUAGUACGAGGUUGGCAUGAAAAAAGUAGAGAUCGAAAUACCUCUCCUUUUAACCAAGAUGAGUUGGCCAUUAGGUGAAACAUAAGAUGCAGGCCUGACCAGAGGUGAGAAGUUUUAACAUUGAAAAAAAAAAAUGGUCUACUUUUAUUUACAAAUAUGACUAAAGAAAGAGAAAAUUUUUGGUUCAAUCCCUCACGUUUAGGGAGAGUUUUUUUUUGGGUCCCUCAUUUUUGAAAGGUAUAAUUACAAAAACACCCCUGAGGUUUGUGACACAUCACAUGGUAUCCCUAAAUAUUGAAAAAUACCACCUACAUCCCUUAUUUUCAACUUCUUCCAACUUUGUCAACCUAUUCCGACAAAUAUGAUUUAAAAACUCAUUUUGGAAGAGAUAAGACAUUUUCAUUCCAAAAUUACCCUUUCUUGUGGAGCUUUAGCUUUCAUGACAAACCAAAUUAACUUCUUAAUAAUCACAACAUGUUAAUGAAAUUGAAAGAUUUUUUAUAGUUUUCGAUAUCAUCUAUCUAAACAAAAAAGGAGAAAAAAUUAGAAACUCUAAAUGAUUUAGAAGACUCAUAUGAGUCAUCCAAAAAUUGUUACAGUUAAAAAAAAAAGACUUUUUGCACCUCAAAUAAAUUUCUAAAUAUAUGGUUAGUAAUUUUAUCUUUUUCUUGUUUUCAAGCCAUCAAUUUGGACAAAAAGUUCAAACAUUCAAAAUAUUCUAAACAAUUUGUAGAAUCCUUAAAUUCAUCCAAAACACUUUGCAACAAACAAAAUAACUUUUCUUUGAAAAUGCCUUAACUGAGUUUGUAAACUUAAUUUUAGACAUUGUGUCCAUUUUUUAUUUUCAAAUCAUUAACCUAUACACAAAAUUUCAAAAAUUCCAAAGAUUCUUAAAAUUUAUAAAACUCCUCCAAUUAACGAAAACCCUUACAAUAAAUGAAAUAUUUUUUCAGCUUGAACAACCUCAAACAUAAUCUUUUGUACCUUAAAAACAUUUGCUAGUAUAUUUUAUCUCACCAAAAUUACACCUGCACACUAUUUUUUUAUUUUCAAGCUUUUAGUACUAUAGUUUCACUUUUGAAAAACUAGUUGGACAACACAAGGGCAAUUUUGGCAUGAAAACAUCUUCGUUCUCAAAAAUGAGUUUAAUAAUAUAUUUUGAAAUGGACUGAUAAAGUAGUUGAAAAUAAAGGAGAUAGGUGAUAUUUGUCAAAGUAAAGUGUUCCAUGUAACAUUGUCAUUACCUUAUGAGAGGUUUCCGAAAGUACCCCUUUUAAAAUGAAGCAAAUUAGUUUCUCACCUUCUAAAAAUAAAGCAAACUAUUCCCAAAAUGACAACCUGAUAUAUAUAUAUAUAUAUAUAUAUAUAUAUAUAUGUAUAUUAUAGGAACAAAAUUAGAACGUCACUUUAGUUUUUGUGGAAUCUAGGUACAUGUCAUGUGCGCAUGACAUUAGGUUGACGAAAAAAGGAAAACAAUUUAAAAAUUAUAACAUAUAAAAAAAUCGUUCUCUCUAAUUUUUAUUUUUUUUUAGAAAAUGAUAUUCGGCCAACAUAAAAAGGACAGUGUAUAUGUGUGUAGAACUUGUAUUUACAAUAUUGAAAUUACAGUUAACUUGAGAGUUUUGGUUUUUUUUUAUUUUCUUUUGGAAUUGGUUUUUUAAUAUUAUACCUAUCGGAUUUAGGGAUGGCAGCGGGGCGGGGUUGGGGCGGCGGACCCCUCCCCCGCCCCCCGCCCCGUUGCCUAUUAGUUCCCCCCGUCCCCCGCUUCCCGCUCCUCCCGCCCCGCCUUGCCCCGCUUCCACCCGCGGGGUUAAUAAAAUUUUAUUAUUAUUAAAUUUUAAUAAAUAAUCAAGUACUAAAAUAUCAACACAUCACCAAAUUAUUAUUCAUUGUAAUUUUACAAUUGAAACUCAUAAAAACAAUCAAACAUAAGUUAUUUGAAUACAAUCCAAUAUGAUGAAAUAAAUAUAACUAAAAUAGUCAAGUUUUCACUUUUAGUACAAAUACAAUCACUAAUUCAUUAUUGUGUUUGUGCUUUUUUUUGAGAAAAAAGUGUUAUUCUAUUAAGUGUUAUUAGAAAUUUAGUAUAAAUGUAUUAGGAAAAUUUAGUAUAACUAAUUAAUAAAUUCUAUUAGUAGACAUGUAUAAUUAUUCAUAUAAUUGAUAAUAUCAAUUAUAUUACAUAAACUAAUAUACAUUAUAUAAUACAUCUAACUAAUAAUAUCAUUAUCAUAAGUUUAUAACUAAUUAACUUACAUAUUAUAUAUAAUUAUAUAAAUAUUUAUAUAUAUAUAUAUUUUUUUUUUUUGCGGGUGGCGGGGCGGGGGAUGGGGCGGGGGUAUACUCCCCCGCCCCCCGCCCCGUUUCUAGGCGGGGGGAAAAAAUUCCCCCCCGCCCCCACCCCACCCCCCGCCCCGAGAGCCCCCCGCGGGCACCCGCCUCCAUUGCCAUCCCUAAUCGGAUUGUAGUUAACUACAGGUUUGUACACAUAUUCACUGUUACUUCAAUCUGACGGCACGCCGUAUCGGUUACAGCAGUAGCAGCAAGAGCAAGGCGCACGCUAUCGGCUGCACCGGCCAAAAUUUCAAACAUUCAUUUUUUUUGGCUUCCAAAUAUGAAAAAGACGUGGAAGGAACAGCAAUUUAUGCAGCGCAUUUCUUUGGUUCAAGGAUAGAAAAGGAACAGAACGGCGUUAUUGUCAACCAUCUCUUCAUAAUCGGAGCAUUAUACUAAGGUGUUGUUUCUUAGUUUAUGUUACAAAAAAUCAAACACAGCAAUUCAUGCAGCGCAUUUCUUUGGUGCUAAGGAUAGAAAAGGAAUAGAAGGGGUUAUUGUCAACCACCUCUUCAUAAUCAGGGCAUUAUAGUCAAGCAACAAACACACAACCCGUUGCCUGCCCAACUGGUCAAGUAUCAGGCCAUUGAUUAAGAUUUUAACAAUCUCCAAAUUGACGCAACUACCCACCUACUCAUGGUGCCCAUGAGGGGCCUAAGCACUAUUCACACCCCUGAUUCCCCCUUUUUGUUUGCCUUUUAUUGAUAUAUAUACUAAUCAUUAUCAUUACUAUAUAAAAAAUACCAUGAGUCUUGGUAUUUUGGAGUGUAAAUUUAAGUAUUCUUGUAAUCUUCGUUUUUGUUAUUUCAAUUAUGUCCUUGUUAAUUGAUGAUUGAAAUUUCAUUAUACUCUUUUUAAUUUAUUAUGAUAAUUAAAAUUCAUUAUACCAUAUCUAUUGAUUUUAAAAAAUAAUAGUUGAUGAUAAGACAAAAUGUUAAGCAUUAGAGAUUAAGCAGAAUUUGGUUUUAGUUUUCUAUUUGUCCAAAAUACCAUUCUCACUAAUAAUCAUUUAACAUAGGAAUAAUUGUAGUAGUCAGGGAAAAAAGUCUAACCUUAAUUAAGUUUGAAUUAUGAAGCCAAUAAAUAAAAUAUAACACUUCAAUCCAAUGUAUCUCUUUACAUUCUAUUUCAGUUUUUUUAUUUUAUUAUAAAUUCUUGAUUAAUCACAGCCUAAUUAAACUUUCAAAUCGUCAAAAAUAUUUCUAUUGAUAUCAAAAUAAGGUGUUCUUAGGAUAAUAGAAUCUUUGUCAUUUAUGCUUUACAUUAGAUUCUGUCUCAAAAAUAAAAAAAAAAAGAAAACAAAAGAAAAAAAAAUAGAAGAACUCAAUUAUCUCUUUCAAUGAAAUUUCAAUUCUCAAAAAAUGAACAAUUAGAUGAAAAAAAUUUAUAUGUGGUAAAUCAUUGCACUCCAUUGUUAACAAAAAUAACACACAAAAUAAUAUAAAGAGUUCAAAUUAAAAAAAUAUACAUUUUUUUUUGUUUUUCAAACAACAGUGCAUGUAACUUCAUAUUGAGAAAUUUCAUUAAGAUACUAACAAAUUCAAUUUAAUAGCACGAAAAAUAAUAAUGAUGGAGUAUGCAACCAAUAUUUAUGCAAACAAUUAUUUUUAUUUUAUUUUUUUACCCUCCUACCCCUCCCUAACAAUUAGCAAACAUAACUUUUGGUUUGCAUGCAAAUUUAGGCCACCCAACUCUAAAAGAAAACAAAAAGUUGUACGUGUAUCUAAUUAAAAAUCAAACAAUGUUAGUGACAUUAUCACAAUUUGUUUGUCAUGCAAAAAAAAAAAAGAAGUAAUUAGAAGUAUCAAUAUUAUACAUACCAUUCAUAAUAUUGAUAUUUUUGUCAAAUCAUUUCAUAUUUGAUCAAAUCUUUAUUUUUUAAAAUGUUAAUUUUUCAUCUUCUAAUUAAUUGUCCUUAAAACUAUUAUUUUAAAUUGAAAGAGAUUAUAGGUAUCCUCAUUUAUUAAAAAUUCUUUAGAGAUUUUAUACGAAUUUAUAGAUAUAACAUUUUGCGAACUUUUUUUUUUUGCUUUUAAAAUGAUGGUUUUAAGGAUAAUUAAUCAAAGAAGAUAAAAAAUUAAAUAAAAAAGGAAAAAAUGCAGAUAUUAAAUUUUUUAAAAUAAUUUUCACAAAUAAAUUUAAUGUAAUGUACUAAUACUAAUAUUUAUAUAUGUAAGAAUAAUUAUAUAGAAAAUGUAAACAAAAUUACUAUCAUACUUACAUAUAUACAGUGCAGCAAUAAAAGAAUAGAUAAUUUUCCAGCCAUGGUAGUGUAAAGUUACUUGGAUUUGGAAAAGAAAAUCGUAAAUAAAUGCAUUUAUUUCUAUUUAUUAUAUUUGAAUUCAAAAUUGAUUGGCAUGGAAAUGAAAUAAAAAAUUAUUAUUGUAGUUUUUAUCAAAUUCAUGCUAUUGUAAUAGAGUGUCUCGUCUAAGGAACAUAUUACCGUAUUUGAAUUACCUUAAUUACCUAGCGUUUGCUCAAUACAAAUGUGUUUGUCAAAAACAUAUUCCCAAAAAAUUCUCCCUCUCCUCUGACCACCUGUCUCAUCGCCUCCCUAUAGUCCCUCCUUUCCCUACUCCUAACCACAUUUUCUCCCUUACCCCCUCCCACUUUCCACCCUUUUUUUUCACUUUUUGUCCUAAUCUACUGUGGCCUCCACCAAUGUUUUAAAAAUCGGACUGUUAAUUGAACCGGUGAAGUGAAAGGGUCGAUGUUCAACCGGUCGGACCGGUUCAACCUCGGUUCAAUGAAUUUUUUAAAAAAUUAUUUAUAUAAAUAUAUAUAUGUACAAAAUAAGACAUGUAAUGGAUUAAUUUAAUACUUUAUAUGAUGAAAGGUUUACUAUUUUUUAAUAACUUGGAUUUUUUAAAAAUAAAUUUUUUAAAUUAUAAGUUAAAACAAAUAAAUUUCACCUCGAUUUCAAUUAUGUCUAAAUCCAAUCCAAAAAUAUCACAAUAUUUUGAAAUUAUACAAAAUUCACGUCUAUGAGAAUUUAGAUAUUGUGAACUUAAAUUUUAAUUUACAUUUUAGAGAUUGUAAUUUAAAAAAGGAAGUUUGGAGUUCGAAGGAAGUCAAGAAAAUCGAAAAUAGAAAUGUAAACUUGAUAAGAAACAAAAAAUGAGAUAAAAGUGAGUGGUUGUAGCAUUAAAUAAUUUGGGUUAAAAAAUAAUUCUUUUUUAACUUUUUUCAAUUUAAUGGACAAAAACCAAAUUAAAAGAUGGAAGAAAACAUCAAUAAAUUAAAAAUAAAGAGGUUUGAUUAAAAAGGGAGUGACAAAAAAAGAGGAUAGAGAGAGAGAGAGAGUUGAAAAUUAAAAAGAAAGAGCCAUGAGCGGAUGAGAUUUUGUAAGAAAAAUGGAAAAAAGAAAUAUAAGUGUUUGCUUUAUAUAAAUAAGUUAUCAAAAAAAACUAAUAAGAUGCGAUGGUGCAACGGUUAAUACAUUGGUCUUCUAUUCGAAUCUUGAUAGCCGCAUUUUGCAAAAAAAAAAAAAAAAGGAAGGUUGAAAACCGGUUCAAUAGCGGUUCAAUCGCGGUUUUUACGGUUCGACCGGUUCUUGACCGGCUUUCUGACAAAGUCAACUAUGGCAUUGAACCGGACCGGUGCCAUGGCCUGGUCGAACAAAAAAAAAAAGGAAGGUUGAAAACCGGUUCAAUAGCGGUUCAAUCGCGGUUUUUACGGUUCGACCGAUUCUUGACCGGUUUUCUGACAAAGUCAACUAUGGCAUUGAACUGGACCCGGUGCCAUGGCCGGUUCGCGGUUCGACCAGCCGGUCCGGUUCGGUUUUCAAAACAUUGGCCUCCACGCCCUCUUCCUCGAACACAAAGCGGAGGUGAAAUGAGGUACUGUUUUGGUGUUCUUUUUUUUUUUCUGGAUAUUUUGGAGUAUCUUUAGCAAGUUACUGUAGAUUUUUUUUUUUUACAAAUUAUUUAUCUUCCUAAAAUACUCAAAAAACACGGAUGCUAAAACAAAAACCUAGCUUUUUAAAAACAUUUUUUGUUUAAAAGCCGGAAAAGAUUUUGGCUUUACCACUAGUUUAAAACUUCGGAUUAAUAAUUAAGAUUAAACAAUAAUGUUUUAAGUUUAUCUCCAGAAGGACUAACAGACGAGUUGAAUUGCCAUUUUCCUCUUUCGCAUGUUUGCCAUCAUACUUUAUUGUCCCUCCGGAUUGGAACGUACUCAGUCAGUAAAGAGAUGAAGGCCACAACAACAACAUGAUUAACAAAACUCGAAGUGAAAAUGCCAACCAAUCAUUAUCCUUUUUGGUUAUUAGAGCAUAAUACUAGAAAUAUGUGUGUGAAAUAUUUCACUUAUCAUGGCGAUGUACACUUUCAAUGCAACGAAUGUACAAUUCAAACAUGAGUUUAUGUUGUAAUGAAUAUGUAAAUAAGAGUUACAUUAUAGAGCACAAUUGUUAAGGCACUUUUUAUCUAUUCAAUGAGAUUAACACAAAUGCACCAUCGUUCAAGUUAUUCUUUGUCUAACGCCAUUAGUCAAGCACUUCAGCAACAGGCGAGAGAUGUGUAAUUAUGUUGAUGCCCCUUUCUUGAUAAGAUGGAAGCAAAUGCAUCAUUCAAGUUAUUCUUGGCCAAAAUUCAUUCAUCAUUUUUUUUUAAAAAAAUAAUAAUAAGAUAACGACAAUGGCACGCCAAUCCCCCAUGAAAGUGAGCUCAACAUCUUUAGUUGUGUAAAGUUUAAAAGGCUCACUUCUCGACAAUUUUACAAUUUAUUCAGAAUACUUCAUAUCUAAGAUUCCAUUUUCUCUUUCCAAAAAUAAAGGUUCAAGUAAUUUGACAUCACAAGCCUGAGAUACAAAGGUAAUUCUAAGUGUUUUACAUGUUUUUCAACUUAAGAAUGCGUUACAUUUUGUGGACGAUGUUGAGCUCUUAUUUUAAGAAUGCGUAACUGAUUAAAUAGAAUGAGACACGGAGGUCAUCGUCCAUAAAUCAGGCUACUUUUUGAAGCCAGUUCCCAAAACGUGACGGUUUUCAAACAAACGUAAUCACUGAAUGCGUUUUUUCAGGAAAGGCAUACGCUAAAUGCAAUGUUUAAAAUUUUAAGAAAAAAUAUAGUUUUAGUCCCUACUGUUUAAUCUACAUGCAAUUUUAGUUUUUAAAGUUUUGAUAAAAGUAAAUCUGGUCCUCAAUAUUUAGUAUAUGUAUAGUUUUAGUCCCUAUAGUUUUGGCAAUAGCAAAUCCGAUCUCCAAUAUUAUCAAUUUGAAGCAUUUUUAGGACAACUGGUGAAUUUUUCUAAAUAUUGAUCGAAUCAGUCAUGUUUGGUCACAUAUUUGUUGAAAAACUUCUUAAAAUUUAAUGAAAUAACAAGUAAUCUUGAACAGUAAGAAUAACUUGCACGCUAGCACAUUAAUAACUAAUUAAUCACGAGAAAAAGAAAGAAAAUUUGUUAAUCUAUAACUAAAAUUAGGUAUUACAAUUUUUUUUUUUGCUUGGAGACACGAGGGAUAGUCAAUGAAAAUGAAUUUUGGAUCGAUGAACUGGGUACAUUGAAGUUUUAGUUUAAAAAUUUUCCUUCUUUUAACUAUUUAAUUAGUUAGCACAUGAGUUAUUAGUUUUCAAUUUUGAUGCUUCAAGUUAGCUACUCUUUUGCUUCUUUAUUUUGAAAUUUAAAUUAAUAGGCAAAUGACUAAACGUGGCUCUAUUUUGUUAGUAAUUGAGAUAAAAAUUCUUCAAAUGUCCUAAACCAGAUUCAAAUUGGAUAUAAUGGGGACCAGAUUUGCUCUUGCUAAAAUUUUAUGGACUAACACUGUAGACGUGCUACAUAUUAAGGAUCAUGUUUGCUGUUGUUAAAACUUUAAGGACUAAAUCUGUACAUGGGCUAAACAUUGAGGACUAAAACUAUAUUUUUUCCAAAAAUGGAAAAUUUAUGCCUUCAAAGAAUGAAAAGUGGGAUUUAGCAAAUGCAAUUUUUUAACAAUUGGGGUCGGUCUAGUGGCCAAAAGAGAGCCUUUAGAGUUUUUAUGAUUGUUAGAUUUAGGGUUUAAAUCCUGUAUCUGAUAAUUGAUAGCAGGAAAGGUAUAGGAAUGGGUGGAAGGGUUAAGAAAAAUGCAACUUUUCUCAAACAUUGCAAUUACGAAAUAUAUUUUUCACCCUUUGGGAAGAAGUUUGAAAAACAUCAUUUUUAGGAUUUUUUUUUAAAAAAAAAAACUAGCACUCAUUCGGUAUAUACUCCAUCAUCCACUAGAUAAUUCUAUUUGCAAAACCAGCCAACUAGCAAAAUAAGUAAUACAUUGACAAAUUGGUCUUUUCCAAUUUGAUUGUGAUCAUAGUUCAUUGUCCCUCCUGGAUGGAACUUUAAGUUACACCACUUUUCCAACAGUCAUUCAGAUACAUUCAGAUUAAAGGGUUCCGGCAUUCAAUCAGUAAAGAUGAAGGCCCCAUCAACAACACGGAUUGAGGGCUUUUAUAAAUCCAUCACACCAUUUUUGUUAUUUCUUGUUAAUAAAACGUAAUUGUAUUGGAAGUUGAGUUGGAGCUUGGGACAGUUGACGUGGAUGCAUAUGAACUGUCUCACAGAUUAUGGUGAUUAUACACCUUCAAUGCAACGAGUGUACAAUAUUUUAAGCAUGAGUUUCGUGUUGUAAUGAAUAUGUAAAUAAGAUUUGUCUCAAGCAAUUAUGCCUAAUAAGAUUCACUUUGUAAAAAGGUGAAGACCCCAGCAACAAGCCAAGCAUCCAACUUUGCCAACGAAGCAGUGCUCUACACGAAUUGACGGCUCAUUAUUUCUUGUACCCAUAAAUAUCUCUGUGGUUAGUGUGAAUGCAGCAAAUUAAUAUGCAAAUGAGAGUCACAUUAUGGUUAAUUAAUCUUGGCCAUAAAUUAUCUCGGGCAAUUAUGCCCUGUAAUUAUUCAGGCUUUCUUUACACAUUUAAUGAGAUUGAGACAAAUGCACCACAAAAGUUUUUCUUUAUCAAAGUGAAACAGUUUGACAAAAACAAAGAAUAUGUAAUUAUUGAUGCCCUUUGAUGUCAAGAUUGAAGCAAAUGCAUCUUUCAAGAUACUAACCCCACCGACCGAUUUUUUUUUUUUUUUUUUUUUAGAAAAAGGAAAUUGGAUUGUAGGUCGAAAAUCCGACACCAAUCCCGCAUGAAAGUGCACACAAAAUCCUUGGUUUUGUGAAGCUUAAAUGGAUCAAUUCUGAACUGAUGAUUAUUUUACAAUUCCUUGAUGAUUGUUCUCUUCAGAAAAUAUACGUUCAAGUAAUUUGAGAUCACCAAUUGACUGAACAUGGUCUCUUUGUGGGUCCUCCUUAGAUUGCUUUCGUGAUCGAUUUUCCGAUGACUCCUGCAUUGGUUUAAAUUAGCAGUGUGUGUGUUUAUUUCGUUUCCGAAAAAAAAGUAAUUUGAGAUCACAAGUUUGGUACACAAACCUAUGAACCAUCCACUUUAUGUCUCUAUUCUUAACCAGCAAAGAAGCAAGGUAGCUGGUCCAAAAAGAAGAUUCCCUGUUUGUUUGUAAUAAAAAUGAGUCCCACCGUAGAAUAAAGCAGGAGCACUCGAAGACUUAUCUUAGAAGCACUUCAAAUUCUUUUCUUCUCCUUAACAUAUUUGCUUUUAGGUGAUGCAGCUGAAGAAUUCCUUCUUAUCUCAUUGCAAAAGGCGUCCUGAUCAUCACCUUAACUGAUACCAGAAUACUAAGCCUCAUGAAUGAGACACGAAGCUGAUCAUCCAAAAGAAGAUCCAAAAUAACUGUUAAUUAUAAAGUACUAAUUGGGCAAUGUAGAACCCUGGAAAAGCAUUCAAUCAGAAAAAGGUGAAGACCCUAGCGACAAGCUAAGCACCAAUUCCUUUGGAAAUUAAAGCAUCCCACUUUGCCAACGAAACACUACUCCACACGGAUUGAGGGCUCAUUAUUUGUCACAUAAUUAUCGUCAUUAUCAUUAAAGGUGAAGACUGUUAGCUUCCUUAUAAAACCCCCGUCAAUAAAAAAAAAUUCAUCUCACUCUUCCUUCUCUUGACCACUAACACUCUGGUGGAGCGAAAAUAGAGAAACUAUUUGUGCCGUCUUUUUACUUCAAGAUCAGGUAACCUCCUCUUCUAUUCAUAGUUUCUUCAUAGUAUUACGGAUACAUUGACAUGGGGUGUAUGAUGGAAUUCUUUUUUGUCAUAUGAAUUUUCAAAACUCCUUAAUGAAUCAAAUUUAUACUCUUUUUAGUUGUUUUCUGGAUACUUGAUUGUGCUUUUUCUUAAAUACUUGAUAGCUUAUUCUUUGGUCUUCUACCUGAUUAUAUGAAUAAUUAUACGGCUUCAAUGAUUUUUCAAAAUUAUCCCUAUUUAACAAUCCUGGACAAGUAGGAUGAGAGAUUAUGAUGUAUGUAUUGCUAGGAAAGUUCGUUAAUUUGCAUUUAGAUCAAAGUUUAAACAAGUUGGAUAAUUGAUAAUUUAUUCCCGUUGAAUCAUCUUAGACAUCAAUUUAUGCUGCACUUAGUGCUGAUCUUAAUCACUCACAACUAUGAUCAGAUUAUCACCAAUUAAUGGCUUGGCAUAAUCCCUCACAACAACUUUUGCCGGUUCUUUUAGAUGGAGCUAUAUACUCGUAAGGCAGCAUACGACAUGAAAUAAUUGAUUUUUUUUCCAAGUAGUAUUGGGUGGCAAACUAUGAUCAUAUUUUAAGGACCUCGUAUAUAUAGUAAGGUUGUCUGAUUAGCAACAAAUUUAUUAUUUUAGUUACCUACUGACUCAUAAAAACAAAUACACUAACAUUAAUACUUUCAGAUGGAUAAGAAAUCACACGAAGAUUCAAAUCAGUUUCACAUCCAACAAAAACAAUGACAAUUAGUUGGUGUUGAUGUUAUUUACCAUGUAACAAAAUUGAUCAUGCCUCAAAGGAUUUGUUGCACAAAUUAUGUUGAAUGACCCAAUGGGUAUCGAUCUAAACAAAGUCAGAAUGUGCGAAAGGAAAUACUGAUGCAACUUAGAACAAAUCAGGUAUGUAGACUCGACAAACAUUGACAAAAAAUUCCUAAUUUUGGCCAACUUGGAUAUAUAAACUUAAACGGUGAUGUGAGGUGAAAAAUUAGGGGCAACAUGGAGGAACACUGGUCUAGGGGAAUUAUAUGACAAUUGUAGUUUUGAUGGAGUAAAAUAAUAAGCUCUUGACUUAGGUUCCGUUUGAUAAAACUGAAUCUGAAUUUUGAAGUCUGAAUUCUGAAAUCUGAAUACUGAAACAAUUAAUUUGCUGAAUUUUAAGCAUUGAAAAAAAUAUGUGAAUGUCUGAAUUUUAAUGCUAAACCUAUUUAUACUGUUUGAUAAAUAUUUAUUACUGAAUGCUUAAUAAGUUUAAUUUGACAAUUUUGCCCUUAUAUCCUUUUAUUCAAAAAAGAAAUAGAAUCUAUGAUUUGAUUAGUUUAAAAUUGUUAGGUAUGAAAAUGACAAUAUUUAUUUUUAAAUCAAAUUAAUAUAAAAGAUGAAAUAUAUUAUAUAAGGAAUAUGGAGAAGAUGUGAAAGUCAUUAAAAAGGGAGAAAAGAGAAACUAAAAAUCGUUAGAUAGAGAAUAUUAGGUUGUUUAAUUAGAUAAGAAUUUUGAAUAUAAUUAACAAAUAAGGGUAGAUUUGGUAAAUAAAAUAAGGUAGUUGAAGUAAUUCUAUUGAUUCUUAUCAGAAUUAAGCAUUCAGUUAGGAUUCUUGUAUUGAAAAAAAUACACACAGGUUCAGCAUUGCUUAAUAAGUUCAGCAAAUAGAUUUUCAUUUAUCAAACACUCAAAACAUUUGAAUGUCUGAAAAAAUUCAGAUUCAGCUAUGUUAUCAAACAGACCCUUAAACCUGAAGGUGUUUAAAUUUUCUUUGGCUUAAAGGCGUUUAAAUUUGAAGCUGUCAGUUUUGUUGCAAUUAUUUACUUUAGAAGAACUUUUUAAUUAAAGGGCACGGUUGUAAAACUAACAAGGGAGACAAUCUUUUCCUUUCACUCCUCCCAAGUCUCAAACAAAACCAAAAAAAUCAUUUCUUUUCUUUUCUUUUUUAAGUUCCCAAACAACAUUGAAGGAAAGUUGUCUAACUUAAUUAGUCAAACAUUCUUUAUGUUUAUAUAUAUAUAUAUGACUCAAUCCAAGGUUAUGCAAAAUUUAAAAGAUUUAAUAAUCAACAGUUCUACAAUUUGGACAAAGAAUCUCAAGAUUUCAUUAUUGACCAAAAGCAAGUAAUUUGAGAACACAAGCCUCACUACCAAGACACUAAGGUAACCAUCCGCUACACCUCUCAAAAUUUCUACUACACAGGAGGCAAAUUAACUGGUUUAAAAAGAGGGUCUGAUUUGUUUAUUGAUUUGCUAUAUAAACUUUUUGGUCCCAUUAAUUUUCGCUACCUUAAUUCCCUAAUUGAGGAACGGUCUUAUAAAAGUUUCACCACCUACUCAGAUUGCUACAAUUUAUAGUUCCAAUUUUCUUUUCAUCCGACCACAGUGGUUUAAUUUCUUCCACAACUAAGGCCCCCAUCAGUGACUAAAUCAGAUUGCGCUAAAAUUAUUUUGAGGUGCCCCACGCAAUUUGAUUAAUCACAAUUAUACUAAUCUGAAUCUCUCUUAUACAUCAGCCCACUGGAAUCGUUUAAUCAUCUCUCUCUUGUUCUGACUGGCUUCUAUUCUGAUUUCUGCCAUUUGUUGCUGAAACAUUCCUUCCAUCUCUGAUAUCAGAAAACCUUUCGAUCCUAGUUCCAAUUCCAAGCAAGAAACAAUGGCUGACGCUGUUAUCAGUGCUACUGUUGAGGUCGUCUUGGGGACACUUAUUUCCAUUGCUGCGGACCGCAUUGGUAUGGUUCGGGAGGUCGAAGCGGAGUUGGAGAGACUAAGCAACACUGCUGCAAUGAUCCGAGAUUUCUUGGCUGAUGCUGACGGGAAAAUGCAUACCCAAGGGGUGCGACAGUGGCUCAAGCAGCUAGAAGAUGAGGUUUUUAAAGCUGAUACCGUGCUAGACGAGCUCAACUACGACAAUCUUCGUCGGGAGGUGAAGUACCGAAAUCAACCAAUGAAGAAGAAGGUAUGCUUCUUCUUCUCCUUCUUUAAUGCAAUUGGCUUUAGUUCCAGCUUGGCUUCAAAGAUCCGGGACAUCAACACCAACCUAGAGAGGAUCAACCGGCAGGCCAAUGACUUGGGAUUGGUCAGAAAGCACCAAAAAGAAGCUGCACUCCCUGCUGAUGCCGCGGCAAGCAGACAGACCGACUCUAUUGUCGUUCCGAACGUUGUAGGAAGAUCCGGCGACGAGUCAAAGAUAGUGGAGAUGCUGUUGACCCCAUCUGAAAAGGUUCUUUGUGUUAUUCCCAUAACAGGCCCGGGAGGUUUGGGAAAGACAACUCUGGCGAAAUCAGUCUACAAUAAUCCAAAAAUAGAUGGGCACUUUGGCCAAAAAAUUUGGGUUUGUGUGGCUAAAGAACACAUUAAGAUAAUGGAGCAGUUCAAGCUCAUUUUAGUACAAUUGACACAAGAUGAAGUUAAAGUGGAUGGCAGAGAGGUUAUCGUUAAAAAAAUUGGAGAAAAGCUCAAGGGAAAAAAAUAUUUCCUUGUUCUUGAUGAUGUGUGGGAUCAUGAUCAAGGAUUGUGGAAUGAUUAUUUCAACACUUUGAUGGGACUCAACGAAACCAAAGGAAGCUGGUGUCUUCUCACUACUCGUCUAGAAUAUGUGGCUAAUGCUGUGCCUAGAGAUUUGCAAAUGAAUGAUCGUCCUUAUUUCUUAGCAAAGCUAUCAGGUGAUGAGUGCUGGUCCAUCAUAAAAGGAAAGGUGAUGAGUGCAGGGGAAGAAGUACCAGAAGAAUUGGAAGCACUGAAGAAGCAAAUUUUAAGGAGAUGCGAUGGCCUACCCUUGGCGGCAAGUUUGAUUGGUGGCUUGUUGCAUACCAACAGAAGAGAGAAGUGGCACUCCAUUGUGCAGGAGAGUAUUUUGAAUGAAUAUCAAAGCCAAAUUAAUCAAAUACUUAAGGUGAGCUUUGAUCAUUUAUCACCUGCAUCAGUUAAGAAAUGUUUUGCAUAUUGCUCAAAUUUUCCCCAGGAUACUCAAUUACGAGAAGAUGAACUAAUUCAGCAUUGGAUUGCGGAAGGUUUUGUUCUAAAGAAUAAUAGAGUGAUGGAGGAAACAGGAGGCGAGUAUUUGAGGAUUUUGUUGCAAAAUUCCUUGCUG